AAGAAAACCAACUUUAAAUCCAAGAGUAUUUUAAUAAUUUUAAAAUUUCAUUUAAAAUAAAAAAAUAAAUGGUAGUUAUGAAAAAUCCUGAUUGGUCCACGUGUACCAGAGAAGUUAUUAGCUUUUAUUAUAUAUUUUUUAAAAGGUAGUUGUUUUUUAAAAUAAAAAAUAAAAUAAAAGGUAGUUGUUUUUUUAACCCAAACGGUUAUACAAAUCCAAACGGGUUCUACAAACCCAAACGGAUUCUAUAAACCCAGAAAGGUUCUAUAAAGUCAUGGAAAUAAAAAUGGAAAAUAUGUUGUCUAUGGAUGUGAUCUAUCCAUCUUUAAAAAAACAACGUAACUAUAAAAAUUAUAUCUAUUUAAAAAUAUUAUAAUUAAAAAUAUUCCUUAAGUAGUGGAAAAUAACAACCUUUCUUUUUAUUUUAUAUUUUAAAAAACAAUUAAUGAAUAACUAUCGUUUUUAUUAUUUUUUAUUUAAAUUAAAUUUUAAAAUUACUAAAAUAUCCUUAUAUUUAAAGUAUUCUUUUUUAAAUAGGGAUAUUUUGUAAUCUAAAAUUUGGUACACUUUGCUCAAAUGUAUCAACUGAAAAAUCACUUUAACAAACCCCUUAGUUAAUAAUAGAAGUUUUUACUAUUACUUAUUGUUGAUUUUUUUAUGUAAAUUUGAGAAUUUUAAAAAUAUUUAAAUUUAUAUUAAAAACUGAAAUUUAUUGUUAACAUAUAUAGCUUUCACACUUUUAAUAUGUUUAAUUUUUUUUAUUUCAAGCUCAAUUUAUAAUCAUUUAGUUUCGAUGAUUUUGGGUUAAUGUUAUUUGAUAAUUUGGUUUUUGUCAUUUUGGUGAUAUGGUGUAAGUUAAUAAUUUGUUUUUGAAUUAAAUAUUUUUCUUUUGAUUUAGCACCACAAAUUAAAUGAAAUAAUGAUAAAUAUUCACUAAAUUGAAAUAGGGACACGUGAGAUAAGAAAAAAGAAAAAUAUUACUUUAUAAUUUAUUUAUUUAUUAUAUGUUGUGUUAGCUACUUAAUAUUUUUUGAGGUAAAAUGUGUUUUAUAAUUUAUAUUAUAUUUUAAAUUAUAUAUAAAUAUAGUCAUAGAGUGAAUGUUAGUAUCCAUUUUGGAAUUAAAAAUAUGAUAAUAAUAAAAUUUGUUAUUAACAUAGUUAUGGAUCAAAGUUGGGUAAGUGCAUAUUGUCUUAGUGAUCAUUCAUGAAGAUGAUUUAGUUGUCUGAUUUUAUUCUUUUCAUAAGAGUAAUGAUAUAACUUUCAUAUCAUCUAAUAAGUACAUAACAAUUAUGAUUAAUGUGUCAUCAAUUUAACUAGAGUUAUGGGUGCCAUAAACAUUUUAUGUCAAAAUAAUAGACAAAAGUAAGUUCAAAUUAUAUAUCCCACAGUGAAAUAUUAUUUAAUUCUUAAAUUAAUUAUUUUGUGUACAAGUUAUUAUAUGAUAUGAAUUUUCCUUUCUUUUAUUAUAGUGUAAUAGACACGUUAGUUCAUGGAAAUGUGAAUACUACGUGAUGUAUUAGAUCAAAGUUAUCAUCCAUGUAGAAAUUUAUGAUAAUUGGACAACAAUAAUCACUUAUAACUAGUGUACGAAUUCUACGAUUUUUGGUAUAUCACUACAUAAUAACAUUGUUUAUUUUAGGUAUUCAAUGAUUCAUCACCAAUAGACCAUUGACGAAAUAACACAUGAAUUGGCAAGUUGUAUUCUCUAAAGUGAAUAGAUUUUGAUUAAGUGUUGUUUAAGUUUUGUUUAAGUUAUGUUUAAACUUAAAAGUUUAAGUUAUACUUUCUCUAGACUACAAAUUUUAAGUUACACAUCAUAUUGUUUAUUUUGAUUUAAAAUUCUUCAUUAUUUACUUAAAUUGAAUAAUUGAAAAUAUAUAUUUUGUUCUCGAAAAGUUAUAUUUCAGGUUUUGCGUUAAUGAUUAAAAAAAUAAAAUAAAAAAAAAUAUAACAAAUUUAAGUAUGUUAUGGUUAUGAUAGACUUAAAUUCGAUGUCAUUUUUAUUUAGAAUUUAUGAAUAUUUAAGUCAAUUAGACAAUAACAUACUUAAAUUUUAAAUUUGUUUCUUAAUAAUAAAUUUAUUAUUUAAGUUUAUUCAACAACCAACUUAAAAUUUAAGUAUAUCAAAUCUAAUUAUAUUGUAAAACAGACUUAAAAAAACACAAAAUAACAUAUUAAAAUGUUGGUUUUGUUGUAUUGUUUUAUAAUGUUUUAGCAAACGUUUUGGUAAGAGUUUCAUAAGUCUUUCUUAUCUUUUCUGUCUCAUAUAUAUCUUAGGUUGUAUAUCAAGUUGUAUUUUUUUUGAGUUUACGUUAUCAAUAAGAGUUUUUCUUUCUUCUUCUUUAUCUCUUUUUCUUCUCUCUUUCUCUACUGUCUUAAAAGCUUUCUUUUUGUACUUUGCAACUAAAUCCAAGGGUGUAAUUUCUUUGUUUUUCUUGAAGCAUGCAGGUUGAAUGGAUGGUAUAUGAAAGUGACUGACUAUAUGGUCUUUACAUAUUUACGACAUUUAUAUAUGUAAUAAACUUUUAAAAGAAUUCUAACUUAUCAUAUUUUGUUUUUAUAUGGUUUUCAACUGGUAAUAAUGGUGUUAUAUAUAUAUAUAUAUACGAAUUGAGUAAAUUGGUUUAGUAUAAUUUGAAUAAGGGUAAAGAUACAUAAACAACAUUUUUUUUAUAACAUUUGAACAUCAUCAUAUGUGUCAUUGUGUGAUUGGUCCAAAUAACACAAUGACAUCACCAUGGACCAAUCACACAAUGAGAUGUAUGAUGAUGUUCAAAUGUUGUCAAGAAAAUAUUGUCUAAGUAUCUUUAUCUUUUGAAUAAAUGAUUGCAAACUCAAAUAUGAAUUAAAUGUAUAAAUGGGAUGAGGCAGAGUCGUAGAUUUAUCAUUGGUCGAUCACGUAAUUUCGCAUAUCUGCUUUUUAAUGAUUCUGAUUGAAUGAUUUGAAUUUUAGAAGUAUUGUUUGAUGUGAUAAUUAACAGACGUGAUUAAUUUUGGGUACUUUAAUCUCUUUUAAUACGUGAGUUUAGUAUUAAUUUAAAAAAUAAUUGGCUAAUUUAAUGAAUUAUAAAAUUUGUAGAUAAAAUAUUUUAAAAUUAAUCAUCUUUCUAUUUUCAUCUUAAGUGGUUGAUCUUUUAAAAACCAAUAAUUAUGCAUACUCAUGAUCAUAUGUAUGCUUUUACAAGCUUGAUUUUGGCUUAUUAAUUUAUAAUAUGUAAUUUUAAAUAAAAAUAUUAAUUACUUAAUGAAACUUAAGAAUUUAAUAUUGGAGUCCGAAAAACAUUAUCUCUAUAGCAAAUGCAUGGUAAUAGGUGAUGUGAAUACAGCCGUACACGUGGCAGUAGUAUGUUAAAAAUAUGGUUUGUUUGUUCCCGAAACAUCUUCAUGGUUCUUUUUACGUCCAGGCUGGCAUCUUCUUCAUUCAUUCAUCUUCUUCAGAACCGUCUAAACAUUUCUUCUCUUUUCUGCCAUCACUUGACCCAUCAUGAAACCUCGCGAACACUCUCCUCACUCCAUAUAAAUACGCUUCUUCUUCUCCACUUUCUCAUCACUCAGCAAAAUCUCAUCAACAAUAACCAAGCUCAGUUCUAUCCAUCACAACUCUCAGCAAAACGAUGUCGCUCAUUCCGAGUUUCUUCGGCACAGGGCGAAGGACCAACGUCUUCGACCCCUUCUCCCUUGACGUGUGGGACCCAUUCGAAACCGCACUCUCCUUUCCGCGCUCCGAGGUCUCGAGCGAGACGGCGGCGAUCGCCAACACGCGCAUCGACUGGAAGGAGACCCCGGAAGCGCACGUGUUCAAAGCGGAUCUCCCGGGGCUGAAGAAGGAAGAGGUGAAGGUGGAGAUCGAGGAGGGAAGGGUGCUUCAGAUCAGCGGACAGAGGACGAAGGAGAAGGAGGACAAGAACGACAAAUGGCACCGCGUGGAACGUAGCAGCGGCAGCUUCCUCCGCCGCUUCCGCCUGCCGGAGAACGCCAAAGUCAAUGAGGUUAAGGCUGCUAUGGAGAACGGAGUGCUCACUGUCACUGUUCCCAAGGAGGAAGUGAAGAAGCCCGAUGUGAAACCCGUUCAGAUCACUGGCUAGGCUCCCGAAUGUUACCUAUGUGCUCGGAAUCAAACGAUGAUGUUGUGUCUUUUCUGUAUGUCUUUUUUUUUUUUUCUCUUUAUCUCUGUCUCAGUCUGACAGAGAUGAAUAAAAUGUAUGUGCUUGAAUUGAGUUUAAGAUACUACUGAAAUGAUAUAGCAGUGUUUGUGUUCACUACUAUAGCUUCAGAAACUUGUUUCACACUGUGAAAUUUUACGAUUCCUGCAUAUGCAGCGCAAUACAAAAGUUAUCGAUCUUAUUCUUAAUAAAAAUGUUUUUUCUUUCUAAAUAUACAAAAGGUGUUUUAACAUAUACUAAUCAUAAUUUGAUAUAAGAAUAACACAAACAUGGAGUCAGUUUUAGCAAAUAAUUAUUAACCGAUUAUAGCUAAUAUGGAUAUCAAUACUCUUUAAAAUAGAUAUUUAUGUUGAAGUUCACUUUUUUAGAUGUAUUAAAAUGGCAUCUAACGUAUUAAAUCAGAAAUUAAAAAACAGUUUGAUCACCACUGAAUGGGUAAGAAGGGGAGAAAAAUAGAACUUGCAUCGUCAGAAUAAGAUAAAGCAAAAGCUGGUAAACUGAGAUGUCUGAACAAUUGUAGACAAUUGAAGGAAGUUGGAAUUUGACACUAGUAGGUCCAAGCUGGCUUCAAACUCAUUGAAAAAAUAAACUCAGUUAAAAAAUCCUAGAGUUAUUUUAAGAAAAAAGAUAUGUUGUCUUGACAUUGACAACAUUUUGAUAUACAUGUGUUAUUCUCUCUACGGGUUACGCUUCUCAGGUAAUUUUUUCACUUUUGCACCAUUUUAAAUUAGUUUUACUCCGAUUACAUCAUUCUUUGAUGCAUUAUCUUUCGUUUGAAUUGAUUAAAAUGCGUUUUCGUUGGGUUUUGGUGCACUUAUUCUCGUGUCUUUGGGCGGCGUUCUUUGGCUGCGAUUUAUUGCGUUUUGUAAUUUCCAAUUCCCUCCACUACAUUUUUAAAAUCAUCCAAUAAAAAAAAUAUACAAUAAAUUCUCUUCAACUAAAAUAUAAAAUUGUAAACUCGAAUCACCAUUAGUCAGGAGCAACCUCAAAGACGUCUAACCUGUAUGAAUCGGACAUGUAUAUAAACGUCUGACCUAUAUAGGUCCGACGUCUAUAGAGACGUCUGACCUAAAGGGUCCGACAUCUCAUUAACGUCACCCAUAUAGACGUAGGACAAAGAUCAGACGUUAAAAGCCUAAAAUAACAGACGUCUAAAAUCCUUUCUCCACUAGUGGAUAACUCUCAACAAACACUCCUACCUUCAUUAUUCAUUCAACUUUCAAAAAUUUCAAUUAAUUAUAAUACUUCUAAAUAUCACUUCAAAAAUGAAAAUGUCUACAAAUACAAGAAAAUUAGAGAAAAAAAGCAUUGUACUAAUGUGACUUCAUUGUUUUUAAACAAAGUCAAUGCAACAAUUAAGAAACUUUUCUCCUAUAAUAUUUAUUUGAACUUGUUUUAUACAAUUUAAAAGCUUCGCAGUCGCAAUAUAAUCACAAACAGAAUCUUCUCAACUAACAUAUAAGGUAUAAUACUCAUAAGUUAGUGAAGAAAUAAUCCACAUAAAAGCAAGUUAAAAUAUUAUAAUCACUUUGUAAUUAUGCAUGAAAACAUAAACGAAAAAAGACAUUUUCAUACAUGUCGUCACUUGUACUACAAAGUAUUUAUUGGCUUUACCACAUAGGAGAGGUAAAUUGAAGGCAAAGAAUUAUCACUUCCAUUGAAACAUGUGCAUGGAAGUGGCACCACAAGGUUGUGACCCACAUCAAGCACCGAAGGCUCAGCAAUGGAAUCAGCCUCCCUAAGCUUAUCAAUCUUUACCAAUCAAUUUGGAAUUUUAUAGGGUAGAAAAUCUACCUUUAUCCAAAAAAAAAGCAAAUAAAUAAAAUCUUCUUAAACAAUUAAAACUCUCACAAACUCUCAAAUAAAGUCAAUUGUUACCACCACUAGGAUCAUCCAAGAUGAAUACACCCUCAAGACAAAAACACCAAAGUGCAUCGCUUUCUAAUUUUAUUUAUCACUUUUGAAAGAAAAAGGAAAAAACAUUCUAGAUUGCAGAGCAAUAUGCCUUUAUUCUCUUUUCAAAUAAAGGAUCAGAACCUUUAACGAUGAUGGUAGAGCAUUCAACAGUUCAAUAACGAUACAGUGUGAAAAAAAAUUCGACGAUAACGAACAUUUGACUUCAACGAACAUUUGACUUCAACAAUAGUGAUUGAAAGAAGAAUGUAAUAUGAUAUAGUGAAGCCGAUAGAAAAUUGUGAUUGAAAAAACAAAUGAUAAGAAAGCAUAAACCACAAUUAACAAUUAACUAUACUAAAAAUAGAAUAAGUUCAUUAUUUUUAAACUAAAUUUUUGAAUAGUAUAAUUAGCUUUUAGUAAACAUAGUUCAAGUUUUUUAAGUACAAAAAAGUAUAAAUAAACUGCACUUUAGAGUUUUUAAGUGAAAACUAUGCCCAACCUAAUAAUAAUAAAUUUCAAUUAUUCCAUAAUUAAUUAUUUAUAAUGAAGUGAAUAAGAGAAAGAAUGAGGUUGAGUGGGUUUCAUUCCCUCUAGUUUUUGGUUUUCUUUCUUGUUUCUCUGAUUUUCUUUCUUAUUUCUCGAAACGUUCUUAUUCUAUUUUAACUUAAGGCAUCCAAAAUUAAAUAAAGCAUAUAAAUACGAAAAAAAAAAAAAAAACCCACCAUCAGAAUUCAAAUAGAGUCCACCGUGUCACGCGCAAAGCAACACCCAACGGUAUCACUGCACCAGCUUAAUUUCGUUCAUAUCAUAAUUUUUAUUUUUAUUUAACUUAUUCUUUUUUAUAGAUUUUAUAAUUUUACAUUUUAAAUCUAACAAACAAUUUUCUCACGUCACAGACACAUGUAUAAGAACCUUUACCAACCACAUGGUACUUAAUCAAAUAUAUUAUAUUUUAUUACUAAACAAUAUUUCGAGCAUACAAGAAUGAAAAAAUAUGUCGCGACUACCUCGUUAUUUUCUCUUUCAGUUAUUUUUUUUCUAUUUUUUUAAAUUAUGUAAUUGUAACACGUGUAAAAAUUGUGGUCCUAAAUUCUUUAUUUAUAUAGAUGGUUUGAUUUAGACAUAAUAAUCAGGAAAAAAAACAAAUUUUAAAUCAAAAUAAUUGAAAGAUGCUAAAACUGCUGCUCACUCAUGAAAAUAUCAAAAUUGGACCACCUACUUGUUUAAGACACUUGCACUCAUCACUUUCAAGAAUGAAGGUUUAGAAAAAUCUCCCAUCAACUAAAUCAAAUUAAUUAUCAGCCUUCCUCCACCAAUCAAAUCUUACAACAAGCAUCAAAAAUUCCGAAGCAAAAAAAAAAAGAACAAGAGACAUGGUCGAGCGACAGAGUAAAUAUGAACUUUCUGCUCGUUAAGAUUAUAACUGUUUAUUUAUUCUACAAAAGCCUUUACAAGUUAACUACAACACUCAAACUUCCCAUAACCACUUUACAGAACAUGACACAAAUAUAAACAACACAGAAACACACGAAACAACAGAAGACAAUUUUGGAAAGUGGAAAUGGCUGAGACCUGAACCAUAAGACCUAAUUAACCAGAAAUUUGAAUUGACUUCAUCUGAGGUUUGUUCUCUUCCUCUUUAGGCACAGUAACAGUGAGCACCCCAUUCUCCAUAGCAGCCUUUACCUGAUCUACUUUAGCAUUCUCGGGAAGCCAGAACCUCCUCAUGAAUUUCCCAGUGCUUCGUUCAACGCGGUGCCAUCUAUCAUCUUUCUCUUCCUUCUCUCUGCUUCUCUCUCCACUAAUCUGCAGCACCUUCCCAUCUUCCACUUCCACCUUCACUUCCUCCUUCUUCAAUCCGGGAAGGUCCACGUUGAACACGUGAGCCUGCGGCGUCUCCUUCCAGUCCACGCGAGUGUUGGCUAUGGCGCUGCUUUCACCACCGGAGGAAGUGAGGUUGGCGAGAGUAGCUGAAAGGGGAAACCCCUCAAAAGGGUCCCAUAUAUCCAGAGAGAAAGGGUCGAAGACGUUGCUUCGUUUACCACCGAAGAAGCUAGGGAUCAGAGACAUCGUUCUCGAUAGCUUUAUCUCUUCUGGUUUUGAUGAAAUGAAACUCUGUUGCUGAGAGGAAUUACGAGAGGAUAAUUUCUUCAAAUCAACUGUUUCUGACGCUGAGAAUGAAAAGCGAAACCUAUAUAUAUAAGUUUCAACAGAAGUGCUCACGUUUUCCAGAAUUUUCUAUUCAGAUUGCGACUGAUGAAACACGUGGUGUUUUCUAUAACCUUCUACAUCUUUCUAUUACAAACCAUUUUUGCUAAUUUCUAAACAAUUUAAAAUAACUCUUAAAAAUCUUCUAAUUCUAUUUAACUAUGGAUUAUUAUGCAUUUCAAAUUAUUAUCAACACCUUCUUUUAACACUUUUUUUUUCAGUUGAAUACUAUGGAAUUUAGCAAAUCUCGUAUCUUAUUUAAUAAAUGCGUAUCCUGAUUUUGGAAACUCAUUAAAAAAUAUAACAUUAUGUAAAGUUUUAGUUUCUAAAAAUAUGUUAGCUUUUAUUUUUAAAAUAAUGUGAUUUAUUUAUUAUAGUUUCGUGAAUUUAUUGAAAAGUAAUGCUUUGUAAAGAAUAAUGUGAUCAUAUUUUAUACUUUUGUUACAUAAAAUGCGUAGAUCAAAUAAACAGCUAAAAUAGUGAGAAACAAAUGUACGAAAAAGGUUAAAGGGGAGAAUUGUGAAAUUAAAAAGUUGAGGAAAUAAAUAUUAACUAUAAACUUUUUUCUUUUUUCUUUGUCGGUGUGUUUGAUUUGUUGUUAAUUGUACAUGUUCAUGUCAAAUCGCAAGAAAUGAGUAUGCAUCAUUUAAAAAAGAGUGGUAAUAUUUUGAUACUGUUAAAGAUAAAAAAAAAAAAAACACAUAUUGUAAUUUUAAAUAAUAAUAUUUGAAUUAUAUUUAUUUUAAUUUUUAAUUUAAAAUUCCAAUAUACAUUAUUAUAUUAUUAAAGAGAAUUGUCAGGUGAGUAAUUUUGUUUAGAAGUCAAAAGUUUUAUUUUUCCAUUCAAAAAGGAAUCUCCAGUUGAUGAAAACAUUAAAUUCCCUGGAUUGGACUGGCCUCUGGCCCAAAAUAUCUUUUGGACAUGCCGAAAAUCAAGGAGUGGAAUUCUUCCUGCACCCCAAAUUUGUCUUCCUACACAAUCGAACGUUUUUACAUUCUUAAAAUUAUUCCUAUUAGCUUUUAGGUUUUGACUUUGAGUAAGGUUUAAAACCCUUUGAUCCUUCAGUGUUGUCAUUCGCUCCAUUUGUGUCUCAUCUUACUUCCUUCUUUCCAUUUUCAUCUCAUUCUUUUACUUUCUUUCGUUCUUCUUCUCAUUUUCAUUAUCAACAAUAAAAUUUAUAAUUGAAUUUUGAAUUUCAAAAAAAUCUAAAAUUGGAUUUCAAAUUCCGUAUUUAAAAAAUCUAAAAUCAAAUUUCAAAAUCCUAAAAAACUCCAAAUCCAAUUUUGAAAUUUAAGAAAAUUCAGAACCAAAUUUUGAAAUUUUAGAAACUCCAUAAUCACAUUUCAAAAUUCAAGAAAUUCGAAAACUGUUUUUUAAGUAAAAUUCGAAAGUGAAAAAAAAUGUGAGGUGCAUGAAGAAAGGCCCUUCAUAAUGGAGAUGGUCAACCUUAUUCUAUCAGCACAAUUCUUAAAAAGAGAUUGCUAAAAAUUAAACUUUAUUAAUUCAUGAAUAAAAAUAAAAUAUUUGAAAAAUUAAGAUUCUAACUAAGACAUCUUGAAUGAGAUCAAUUAGAUUCGUUAAUCUUAUAUUCCUGAUUUUAUCACCUUAUUUAUUUGUUGCAAAAAGAAUGAAUGAAAAUUGAAAUCGAAGAUAUGGAUUAAAUUUAGGAUUUCAUUUUAAAACUUGUUAUAAACAAUAACAUAUAUUGUCUCUUUUUUUUUUUUUUUUUUCUGUAGUUUCUUGCUCUGGAUACACAACCAAAAAGCUACUCAUUUCCCUUUUGAUUUUAAUAUUAACCAAUGAUAAUGGGACUCAAUUUUGCAACUUUUGUUUUAUUGUACACUUUUUAACUCAUUUUACCCUUUGUAUUUUUAUAUUUAUUGACGAACUUUUUGUUUUCAUCAUAUAAAAAAUUAUGAUAAAAUUUUAAAUUAUUGUUUGUUCUAAAUUAUAAUCAUAAUUUUUUAAUUAAAAAGUAUAUAUUUUUAUAACUAUUUCCAUAUAAAUGUUACUAUAGUUUCCUUUUUUAUUGUGAUAGAAAUUAAAUCAUCCUAUUACUCUUAUACAAUUAUGACAUUAUAAAAGUGAAUAAAAUGAAUUACAAUUACUUUUAAUAUAUAUAAUUUUUUUUUAUAAUUUCAGCAGAAAAUAUAUAUAUAUAUAUAUAUAUAUAUAUAUUUGUAAUUAAUUUUAAUAUAAUAAAUAACUUUUAAUUAUAUUUUAUUUAUUAUUAUAAAAAGAAUAGACAAAGUUUGGGAAUUUAUAUUCCUCAUCUUUUAAUCUUUUAAUCGUUAGACAAUAAUUAUAACUACCAAUUUUUAAUAUUUAAUUAUUAUUAUUAUAUGUUCAAAUGAUGAAAAGAUUGAAAGUUACCUGCUACUUAGAAAAUUAUAAUAAGGAAACAUAUUCACAUGUGUAUAUUUUUAUUAAUAAUAAUAAAUUUAUAAUUAUAAAAGUAAAUAUAAAUAUUUUUUAAUAAAAACUUAAUUUUUUUUUUAUUUUUUAGAUAACUUAUUUAUAAUAAAUAAUUAUUUAACUUAAAAAAUAAUUGAAUUAAAAAAUAGUUAAAUAAAAAUGAUUAAAUUUAAAAAAUACUUAAAAGAUAAAAUAAAUAAAAAAUGAUAACUUAAAAAAGAGAUAGAAGUAGAAAAAUAUAUCUAUACAAAAGACAUUGUAUAUAAUGAUAUUGAUAAAUCAAAGGUCUAAAGUGCAAUUAGGUCUUACAAUUUUUCAAGCUAAAACCCUCUCUGUUAACACGACAACACAGAGUUCGGUAAUGGCAACCACAGAAGACAAUGGAAAGAAGGAAGGAACCAACUUGCUUGGCUCGCCCACUUUCACAGAGUUGGGAAACGGCCGUUUCAGGUGCGUUGAAACUGGCCACGAGGUCCUUUCUAAGGACAUAGCGUCCUACUCUAACAGCAAAAAAUGUCGUUUGGGUCUCAUCGAUUUCGCCUUGUCCAAUCGCAAAGCCCCUCUCAACAUGUUCAAGCAAGACCCUCUCUCUCGGUGAACUACAAAUUCCCUUUCUCCUUUUCUUUCCCACUUUUUCUUUUCCUGAUUUUUGUUCCUCCCUGUCUUCAGGCCUUCACGUGUGUUUGUCAUACCAAUUUUACUUUGUUCGAUUAGGUUUAACAGAAUAAUCUCGAAACCUUGCUGAAAAAGCUCUUAAAGUUUUCAACAUAUGUUUGUAAUCAAAUGUUGUUUUAAAAAUUGUGAAUUUUCGACGGAGUUUGUGUGGAGUCUGUUUGUAUGAAGUAACAACACAGUCUGGACAUGAAAAUAUGACAACUUUCAAGGGUUACAUAUUUUUCUGUCCCCAUUUUCUGUGUCUGUGGAGUAUGUUACUGACGUAGUUGUUUUUGUUCCUCUUUUUCAGUUCAAAGUUGAUAUGUAAGCUGACUGGGGACAACGUAAAUAAGUCUGAAGAACAUAUCUGGAAGCAUAUGAGUGGCAAAAGAUUUCUCAAUAAAUUAGGUCAGUGAUGUUAUGUCUUUUAUUUACUCAAUAUUGGAUUAAGAAUGAUGUCAGCGCUUCAAUAUUUGAGCGAGACUAUGUUUUCCUGCUAGUAUUUGCAGAUUAUGUGAUCUGUGAUUGAGUAUAGAUAUUGGGAGCUUUGUUUACUGAUACAUCUUUUUUUAUAAACAGAGCGAGAGGAAGAAGAGAAGUUAUCUUGCCAAGGAAUGGAAGUUGAAGAUAGAUUAGAGGAGUCAAAAAGUGCAGACGGUGGAGGAAAGGAUAAAAAGAAGAAGAAAAAGAAGAAGAAGAAUAAAGGAAUUGAUGAGGAGAGCUUACUGGAGUCAAAAAGUGCAAAUGCUGGAGAAAAGGAUAGAAUGAUGAAGAAGAAAAAGAAUAAGGACACGACAGUUGAAGAAAUAAGAUCAGGAGUUAGGGAGUCUUCCGUUGAGGAUAGUGACGCAGAAGAGGAAGACUUCUGGAUGCCUCCUGUUGGUGAUCGGUGGGACCAAGAUGAUGGGGGAGAUCGAUGGGGUUCUGAGUCUGAGUCCGAUUCAGUGCAGGAAAUUGAAGAUGGGAAUGUAAUCGGUAUGUAUACCCAUCAUGCCAUUCAACAUUUAUUGUCAAAUUAACUUAGACUGUCAAUAACAGAGUAUUUUUGUUUCAAAGUUGGGAGAAUUGAUUUUUUACUGAGUUAAUUUCCAUCUGCUGAACUUAAUUGGGAUAGCCGGAUCAUAGAUUUUAAAUUGUAAUGUGUGUCAUGAGUUACUGAUUCUGAGUGAUUCCGAAACAAGCACUUGGCUGAUUUAUAACUUGACUUCACACCGAAGAGAAUGCCUAAGUAAUGGUUUGAACAGUGUUGUCAAAACUGAAUAACCUCACCAAUUCUUUCAAUGCUACCAGUUUUGAGGACGGGUUGGGGUUCACAUGCUAAAAUGCAGAGGGAUGGCAUGUUGUAUGGAUUUCUUGUGAGUUUUAGUGCUAGAUUCUUGUAAUGGUCGAUCCACUUUACCAUGACAAAAUGAAGAUGCUCUUGUCCUCUGUCAAUGCUUGGGUUUGCAUAGCCAAUAGAUGUGUUCUUAGACAAGACAGUGUUCCAGUUGAGGAGAAGGUUUGACGAGGUUAUCAUAGGAAGCAGUUUAAGAGUAUGAAAUAACCUUUGUUUGUAGGGGUUGUAUGACAGUUAUAGUUGUUCACCUUUUUUUUUUGUAAAAUGUUUAUAAAUAGACUUCUGUUUGUUUUAGUCGGAUCAUCUUGGAAAUAUUAGUUUGUGGUGUCUGAGUUAUCUAGUGUGAAAGGAUACAAUUCCCUUGUGUAAUCUGUUUUGCUUCUUUUGGUUCAGGAAUAAAUUCAAGAGUGAACCUUUUUCUGUAGUUUUUCUUAUCUUCAUCCUGAGAAUCCUAACAAUUGGUUUGAUCUGCUGGAUUUAAAACUUAUGGUAGCAACCAGUUUUGGUGAUGAUAGAUAGUGGAGCUAGCCACAACUUUUUUUCUUCAAAGUUGGUGAACAGUUUGGGUUUACAGGUGUAACAAACUCCACCAUUUAGAGUAAAAUUAGGAUAUGGUAGAUUAAAAUUAGGAGAUGGGCAUAAAAAACAAACACAAGUACUCUACAAAAUACUUAGGUUCUGUUUGGUGAGUAUGCUCAUAUUGAGGACUUUUUCAUAUUUGAACAGAGGGUGGAUUUUUAUUUUGGGUGUGUCAUGGUCAGCCACUCUAACAGAUGUAAAAGUAAAUUGGUGGACUUUGACAACGAAAUUUGCUGAACAAGGUCAGGUUGUGGAAAUUAGUGGUGAUCCCCAGUUGUGAAAAAGCUCACAAGCUCUGAUGAAAGGGACAGAGAUAGAGGCAGUAUCAAUAAUUGGGGGAUAGAAACCAGGGAAACCUGGUUCUUGAAGGAAACACAAAAUAAUCUGCCGGAGGCUGGGAAGGAAGAGAGUUACAGAACAUUAUUGAGGAAUUCUCUGCCGUUUUUGCUGAACCAUAAGGACUGCCACCAAACAGGGCAGUGGAUCACAGAAUUCCCAUAAAAUAUGGGAUAAAUCCUCUAAGUGUGCCCUAUAGGUACCCACACCUUCAAAAGAAUGAAAUUGAGAAGCUAGAGAAAGAUACGCUGAAUUCAGGAAUUAUUAGGCCCAGCAACAGUCGUUAUUGUAGUCCUGUCUUGCCAGUGACGAAAAAGAAUGGAAGUUGAAGGUUGUGUUGAGGGCUUUAAAUAAGGCCACUAUAGCUAACAAAUCCCCCCUAGUCCAGUCAUUGAGGAACUGCUAGAUGAGUUACAUUUGGCCCAAUUUUUUUUUAAGUUGGAUUCAAAAGCUGGAUCUCACAAGAUUGAUAUGGACAGGCCAACAUUCCUUAGAAAGACAUUAUUAAUCUCUCUAGUCGUGCCUAUUGAGCUGACCUAUACCCCAACUGUAUUCCAAUGUGCUAUAAAUGUAAUUUAAUAGCCCUACCUCAGAAGGUUUGUCUUAGUUUUUUUAUUUAUAAUAUACUAAUACAUAGUUAAUCAUGGAAAGAACAGUUGGUGCAUUUGAGAAAGGUUCCCAGUAUGUUGCAACAACGCAGAUUCUAUGCAAAUAUGAAGUGAGUUUACUCAGACAGAGUUAGAAAGGGUAUGUGAUUUCUGUGCAGGGAGGUAGUAGCCAUGGAUCCAUAGAAAAUAAAGCAAUUCUACAACUGCCUAUUCCUGAGUGUGUUAAGUCUUUAAGAAGAUUUCUGGGGCUAACAUGUUACUAUGGGAGGUUCAUUAGCAAUUGUGGAAAAAUAGCAAGAAUUUUCACUCAUUUGCUAAUAAAAGGGAUCUCUAAUGGUCUCAACAUAGUACUGCAGCAUUUGAACAAUUGCAAGUUGCUGUCAAUACAACUCCGACUUUAGCAAUAUCAAAUUUUGUUCAACAGUUUGUGUUGAGCGUGAUUUCUUCAGUGCUGGCUAUUCAACAUUUUGGAGGCCUUAUCUUUUGGGGAAAAAUUCAGUGUACACUGACCAGAAAGGCUUGAGAUUUCUGCUGGAGCAAAGGUUUGCUGGUUAGAACUAACAUGGUUGGCUAAGUUGCUCGGAUAUGAUUUUGAUAUUGUAUAUAAACUAGGGGCUGCAAACAAAGGGGGAAAUGCUUUAUCCAGAAAAUAAGAAGCAGGAAUUCCAAGUGUUGUCCAACCAACCACUUUGGCAAAAUGUGAAUUUGAUUGAUGAGAAGGUACAAGAAGAUCCAGUCUUGGGCAAAAUUUUGGAAGAUUUAGGUUAUAUUACAAGGGUAAACAGGUCUUGGCACAGCCUUAUCCAGGAGGGCGGUAAGGGAUUUUUCACACAUAUACCAAGUUAGCUCAAUCUUUGUAUUGGAUUGAUAGGAAAAGAACAAUAGCAGAGUAGGUUGCAACCUGUCCUAUUUGUCAACGAAGUAAAUAUGAAGUAUUUUCACAGGCCACCUUCAUCCCCUGCCCAUUUCCAAUGCCCCAUGGGGAGACAUUAACAUGGAUUUCAUGGCAACUUUUCCUAGAUUUAAAGGUUUUCAUGCAACUCUGGUGGUUAUGGACAGACUUAGAGGAUGCAAUCACACUCAUGAUGACCGUUUUAUUCACAUAAAAAUUCAUAUACAACAGGAUUUUUUGUCAAAGAAGUACCCAGUUUUUCUUGUUUCUCUGUUAGAGACCAAUAUUAUAAUGAUAAAAGGGAAGCAAAAUUGUGUUAUUUGCAUUAGAAAGGAAACUACAAAACGAGGAGCAUAAGUUUUUUUAACAGAAAAUCAGUUCAUCACCCCCCCACUUCCCUGUCUCAUGAGACUAAAUAAUAAAAAUAUUCUCCCACCGCUAACAUCCUCCUCACUGCUCAUGCCAACUCUGUUUUAUAACAAUUUCUCCACUAACUCAGCCACCUCAGCUUGAGAUUUUCCCUUUCUUAUUUUGUGCACAUUACACCUGCAAACAUUUGGUGUCUCAUUUACCUUGUGGACCAGUGGCUCUUUUGGCCCAUAAACUUGUUGAGCUUCAACAUUCUCAGUUGAAGUUAGCAGUGGGAAAUUAUUCAGUGGAGUCCACUUUACCAAGAGAGCUUCAGGAAGAAGUUUCUAAUUAUGUUCCUAAUCAGGUUUUGGGUUCUUGCAUAAUAGCAGAAUUAGGUGUUUGGAGUGUGUUGACUUGUUUGGGUUUAUAAUCCUAUGUUACAUGAAGAAGCAUUCUAUUAUGUUUUUAGUUAUUUAUGACAAAUAUGAGCUAUUAGUUUUCCUUAUAUAUGUUACUUUUUAUGCAUAUGCAUUUAUAUAAAUAUAAUUUUGAAGUUUUAGGAUCUUGUUGAUUUUUUUGCAUCAUGAGUUACUAAUCUUUUACACCAUUUUUUAUCCUUCAACUUUUUAUUAUAGUCAGAGUUUGACACCAUUGGACAUGAGGACAUGUCCAUGCCAUUAGUUUUUUCUUGUUUGAUCUGUCAUAUGUUUUCUUAAUUUUUUGAGUAUGAUAAAUAUGAUUGAGCAGAGGAUGUUUUUUGUCACAGAUGGGGCUGCUGUUGAGGAUUGCGAGGAGUCAGAAGAGUUGUCAUCAAGGUAUUUUUCUUCAGUAUGAAAUAGUGGAAUGUUAUAAGUAGAUGUUACUAGCAGUGUCUGGUUUCCUAGACUGACACAAUAUAUAUUUAAAUUUUCUAUUUUCUGCAGGACAAAAAGAAUGUCAAUAGAAAUUGGACCGAGCAGCUUUGCUACAAGAAAGAAGAAAAGUAAGAGCCAGCACACUUAGAUUGGUUUGGAAGCCAAGUUUAAUCUAGAGAAUUACAAGUCAAUUUUUAUGUGCAUGAAUCAAACUAUGUCAGCCCAUGCUAUUCGCACAUGGGUACAAAAUGCAUUUUACCAUUGAAUUUUUUCUUGUUUUGAGAAGCUGCUUUAUCAUCAUAUUUGUAUUACGAGUAGCAUGAAAUUGGAUAAAAUUGCAAGUCUUUAAAUUAAGCAUGCAAUCAAUUGCAGGUCAAAAGUUCUUUAAGAUGAUCGUUCAUUAUUUUGUGUUGACAAAGUAUUUUAUUAUUAUUAUUAUAAUACUUAGCUAUUUAUAAUAAUUGUUAUAAAAAUUUAUAUAGAAUAAUUCUUUUAUUAGUCAAAAUCCUUACAUUGACCGAUUUUUAAAAUUAUGGCAGUUUUAACAUGAACUUAAUAUUUUCAUAAAAAUCCAAUUUAAUCUACCGUUUUCUGCAUACUCCAUGUGAUCUAUAAAAUAUUAGGAAUGUGACUAAUCUGUCAGAAAAAAGUGGGAAUUAAAGAUCAAAAUUACAACUCAUAAAGCAAUCAAUCGAUGAUAAGAUAAAAUAAAAUAAAAUUUUGAAAGAUAUUUUUCGUGCCUAAAUAGAAAGUAAAUUCAAUUUUGAUUCUUUAAUUUCAAUCUAUUUUAAAUCCUGAAAUCUGAAAAAUUACAGUUUUUAAUCUUCUAAAUGUAGUUUUAAAGAUCUUUUACAUGUUUAAGGAAAGAUAAUUUAGUUCUUUGAACUGAAUGUUUUCUAGUAUGAUAUUGAUGCCAUUUAUUUAUUUAAAAAAAUAACUACUGAUAUUAUUGAACAAUAUUGAUCUACAAAUUUAAUAUUCAUGAACUAACUCUUUUUAAUUAAAAGGUUAAAAUUAAUAUUCAUGAACUAACUCUUUCUAAUUAAAAGGUUAAAAUUAUGUUAGCUUUAAAACCGGCAGUAAGCAGGAAAAAGAAGAAAGACCAUAGAUAUAACAAAAACAUUAAUCCAUCUUGAUUCUCUUGGUUAUUCAAAAGUAUAGUUGCUUCUAUAAUCUGCAUAUCUACAUCAUUGACAAAAAGUUUUAGGCACCAAUCUGCUUUAAUUAAAUAACUUAAAAAAUCGAUGAAAAUGAAAACCUGGUCACAAAUGGCAAAUUCCCCUGCCUCAAACAAAUUGGUAGCUGCAAAAUGAUUGACUUAUGUGCACGCCAUGGAGAGAGAUAAGAAUCAUGAGUGGAUUAUCAAUUAUAAAGGAUGUUAUUGUUUUUGUAUUAACAAAAUGAAUAGACUCAAAAGAACGUGCACGGUGUGGGCCUUGAAGGAUAGCAUAUGUACCUAGCUUCAUCAAACUCCGUACACUCACUUAGUAUUGUUACUCAAACGCUCAACACCCACUACUUUUAUGAGUUCCGAUCGUCGUCUACACAUGAACCAACUCAAUAUUCAUUUUCCUAGGUACUUUUAGCGUGUGACGAUAAUUCACCCAAAUGGGUUCUGUUCUGCAACAAUCUACAAACAUUUAACAUUGACAUUAUGCCAUAAUUAAAUAUUAGUAAGAUUUGGGUGUAUGUUAAUAAAUAAGUGAAACUAACUAACAGGCCAAAAGGCAAGCGUAAGUUAUAAUGGUUGUAGAUGGAAUGAAGAAAAGUGUUAAAAAAUAGAUGGACCGUGGACCCAUAAGAAACGUGAUUUACGGCUAGAUAUGGGCCAGAAAUCAAGCAAGGGCAGAAGGGAACCCAUUCGUCAAAAGACAGAAGAAAAAAAAAGUAAAAAAAAAAAAAAAAAAGCAAGGGGCAAAAUAAUGAUCACAUCAAACAUGAUAUUAUCAAUGGCAUCUCGGUGACCCUCCACGUGUUGACAACCCAUCUCCUCUUGCACGUUACUUUAAAUUAUUUUGCAGGCUUUGCUUGGUAUCUUGGUGGCAAAGACAAGUCCAUAAUAGUGAAUGAAUACGCACAAAACCUUUCAUCAAUAUUUAUCUUUCUUUCUUUAAAGAGAAGGCCCUAUUCCUCUUCAACCCAUAUGGGGCGUGCAAGCUGCAAGGACUCAAACACAACAACAUGAUAUUCAAUUGAUUAAUUCAAAGCAUGGCAUAGUAGAUCAAAUUCUUUAACAAUAGGCUUAAAUGGCAAUAAUUGAAAUUUUCAAUGGAGACAGAAAUGUUGUUGUUUGUUUUCUUGUUCCAUAGCGACAAAUCUAACAUCCUUAUUGGGUGUUGAUUAAGAAGUGAGUAAGUAACCAAACCAAUUAAUGAGACGCAACAACCGCCACCGACCUCAAUCUCUGCCUUUUACUUCCACCAUUUCUAGCAAUAACCACCUUUCUUACUCCAAUAAACCUCUCAUAUACUAAAACACAACAACAACAACUUAGAGCGUCAAUUAAGCAAAACAUCCUAUGUAUGAACUGUCACCAACUCACUCCUCUCUGAAAAGACAGCUAUGUUUAUUCCCUUUUCAAUAUUACCCAUCCAUCAUUCACCAAAAUGACCUAUUAUGUUUCCCAAACCAUUAUUAUCAUUAUUAUUAUUAUUAUUAUUACAAUCUUAAAGUAAAUAUCCAUUCACAUUCACAUUCACUUUCGCAUUCACUCCUUAGAGGUGUUUAUCAUACUUAGUGACGAAGUAAGUAAAAGAGUGAUUUUGGGUUUUGAUUACAUGGUUUGAUCUAGCUAUCUAGCUAGCCACACGUGACAUAGACUAGAUUGAAACAUAGAGGGUUGUUUUAUUUUAUGUGUUUGCUUGCAUAAGUUGCAAAAACCAAAUGAGUGAAGAUGAACCCUAGUGUGUGUUACCCCACAUGCUCACAAACCUUGAGGUUGGGUCUCGGCUUGAGUUCAAACACCCAUCUCAUCUGCCAUGUUAGUAUUCUCUGUGACAAACUUUAUAGCUGUAUUCCACUACUUCACCACCAGUCAACCACUUCGAUUAAUAUAAGAAAAUCUUACACAUUUUUUCGUAGGAUCAUGUCACGCACAAUCAUUCUUUUCUUCACCUUUUUUUUCUUAUAAUAUAAUUAUACGUUUCGAAAGUUUAUAAUCGAUUAGAGAUAAAAUCAAUCUAUAAUAUAUAAAUGAGUGUCAGUUUUGUGAGAUUAUUUUACCAUUUCAAAUAUUCAUUUGCUUUCUGUCUCUGUUUGUAAAAUAAUCAUGUUAAUGAUAUAUGAAAUUUCAAAAGGGCACUUGCAAUAAGAAAAUAACAUAAACAAAAUAGAUGUGCGUUUCACUCUGCACCAAAGGAGACAUGUAGAGAAAAUUGUGAUGGAAAAAAAUAAUUAUUUGUUGAAGGCUUCUUUAGAUUCUUAAACAAGCAAGUACAACAACUAGUUAACUGCUUAAUUUAUUAAGCUGAUGUGCUCUUAAUGCUAUAACGUGCCGUCCAUAAAUCCUUAACUGUUAUUCAUUAAUUGUUUCUUUUAUUACAAAACACACUCGUAAGGUCACUCUUAUCACUUAUAUUUAACAUAAGAAGCUAAAUUGCUCCAAAAUCUUAAAAAUAAACUAUAAUUCUAGUUUAUAUUAAAAAUUAAAGGAUAAAAAUAUAUUUAAUUCUGUUUUAAUUCAUAAUAAAUUAAUAUAAUAAUCAUUUUACGCUUAUUUAAUGAAACAAAGCACUUAUUACAAAUGAUUAGUUUACGGGUUUUAUUCAUUAUCAAAAUAAGUUUUAAAACUUUCGUUUUCAUCGUAGGUUUUUUUUUUUAUAAAUUUAAAUUGUUUAUAUUUUCAUUUUCGGUAAAAUAUCUUGAUGUGUCUGUUCUCAAGCUAAUCAUGUAAAGGAGGUAGUGAUCUAGCACUACCCGUGGUACGUGAGUUUAACAUAAAUUCAUGAACAUUCGCAUUUCCUAAUGAAAAUCAAGAUUCCAUUACCUGUACAAGGCCAGAUUAUUUUGUUAUAUCCCGUUAAGCAACGAUAAUGUUUAUAUGAUCAUGUUGUGGAAAAAGUGUUAAAAUAACCAUACAUUAAAAACAAUAAUAAUAAUUAUGAUCAACGGAUCUAGGUUAAUAAAAUAAUCAUUAAAAUUGUGCUAGGUAACACUAAACGCCCAAGUAUGACAGUUAGUAAAGUGAGCAUAUUAGUAUUUUAAAUCGUCUUACUAAAAAAUAUAAAAUAACAUUAAAUAAAGACUAUAGAAAUAAUUAUUAACUUCAAAAUUUUAAAAGGAGAAGAAUAAAAUAUUGUGAAGUUUGACCAGGUCAAAAUCAGAAGAGCAAGUCCAAAUCAAAUCACGAAUUUCAAAAUGACAACUCUUUAGAUGGUGUUUGGAUAAAAACAAUAAUAAUUAAAUAAAUAAAAAGAGCGGGAAUGCAUAUGAAGAGGGUAGUAACCGAGACAGAGGGCCCUAACACUGGAUUCAGAGAGGGACCCAUCAGAGGUACCCUCCAUCUUCAACCAGCAUCCCCUGUCCCAAUGUCUACACUUUCUUCUUACUUUCCUUCUGCUCUUCCCUCCAUUUACUUGAUAAUGACCUUUCAAAUCUACAUUCCAGGGAAAAUAUCUUCUUUCAAUAUUUCCCACAGUAUCAUUAACCAGUCUAGUACCGUUUUUAGUUCAUUUAUUUAUAUUUGCUUUUUCACAACUUUACUUUUAAAAGAAAAUAACUACUGGCAUUAGCAUUACUCAAAAAUUAAUAUCAGUCAAACAUAUUGAUGAACUCAUGGGCAGUGGCAGCACAUAUUCCAUAAGAAAUCAAGAAAAGCUAAAAAUGUAAACUCUCAACAGGAGGAUGAUGGAGAUAUGGAGGAUAAUGGAAUUACACAACAGUUGCCUUUACUACAUAUAGUAUAACUUAUUACAUACUAUUCUAUAAGGAGUAAGAGCUUUUACAAAGAGUUAUGGGCAAUCUUCCAACACUUUUUCUGCCAGCUAGACUUUAACCCCCUUCUAACACAGCAAGCUCUAACCCUUCUUCCACAACAUUAAUUUAACAUGGAAGAAAACCAACCCCACUUAUUACAAAAUAAUAAAUAUAUUCUUAAUCAGAGAUAAAACCCUUCCCCUAAACUGCUAUCUUUCACUGUUUCUUCAACUAACAGAUCCCAAAAGCUGCAUCUCUCACAAAAACCGGAUGUUUAUUGCCACUAAACUACCCAAAACACAUUCUUGAAUAUCAUCUUUAUAUUAUAAAAUUUAAACUAAUAAACAACUUCCCUACGAUUUUUUCACUAGAUUGCUUUCUUCGCCGAAUUUAACUUAUGGAAAUUGAAUCUUUGUUUCAACUAUCAUCAAAGUAGUCAGUACGUCCAUUCUUGAGGCAAGCGAAGUUCAUGGUUGGCAGCUUCCUCUCGCCGCAUGCUGAACUUCUGUUGAAGGAUAAGAGCAUUUCUCCUUGCUAACAAAGCAUCUACAAGAACCCCAAACUCAAUCAUGUUAGCAGGGGAAGAACUCAAGUUUAAUCCAAAAAUGUUUAAAUAGAAGACCCACUUACCAUAGUCCGGCCCGAAUGCACUAGAGAUGCGUUGUUGGCUAGCGGCAUUGAUGUCAUCAAUGUUGAGGUUCAAAGCAUGGAUAACCUUAGCUGGGACCAGAACUGGAGCAGCACAACCUGUUUCAAAACAAAAACAAAAAUCAGAUAACCGCUAAAUAAGCAGAAACGGAGCUUAAUAAGGGGAUUCAGUAAUUUACUUGUUUUCUUGCGAGAUUCCGGUGGAGGUGCCCCGUACUGACGUGGCAGGAAAACCCCUGUUCCAGCGCAACCCUUUUUGUUAACAACGCCAGAUCCAGCUUGCAAACCGGGUCGUGACCCUGAUCCGAAAUGCGAAACCUGCUGAUUCUGGGGCUUCGCUUGAAGAGGACGGCGCCAUGCAGAAUGGGGCAAGGUGCGUAUGCAGUUCAUGGCUUCAUAGUCAUACCCAAAAUCACGCAAGUCACGUACUCUGUUCUGAACUUGUGGCUGGUGCUGCUGGGUCACCCAAGCAACCUUCUCUUGCCUUCCCCAAACCGAACCACACUGCUGCUUCAGCAUCUGCUCCGGUCUCACCUGCGGGUACCGAGCCUACACAAGGGGAAAAUAAUGUAAACACCCGAUUCCAACAUGCAACUUCUUUAACGCAUUUUUACAAACACCUUGGACACGUUUCUAAAUAACUCACCGGAGGACCGCCAUGGUUCACGAAAAACGCAUUCUCCGCGACUACUGGCGGAGAAACACCCCCAAAAACACCCCCGUUCUGAAACUCAAACUUCGAAGAGACUUCGUCGUUCAUCCUCAACCUCGCAACUUGCCCUGCGGCCGCGUACAGUACAUCCCACGCAUCAUUUGUAGGCUUAAACGGCGUCGUCGUUGGCGAAGGAACACGAGAAGACCCGUUGGGACUCCCGUCGCCGGAACCGCCACUCCGACCGGACCAGCUUCCGAUUCCACUGAGUAUAGACUGAGGCGAGCCAGCCAAACCCCGAGCCAUCAGUUUCUGACUCUGCAAAAACCCCAGAAAAACAGCGUAAGCUUACCCGAAAAGAAAAAACAAGCAAAAAAAACAAAAGGAUCCGUGACGGUCAUCGUUACCUCAGUUUUUUCAGCGUUGCAGAUUGGAACAGUGAGCAUCUGUUCCUUCCUGGUGUCAUGAAUCGAUGCAUGACCGAGGCGGCGAGUCAAGCCAGCAAAGAAGUCCUCCUCGUCGCUGCUCUCGGUCCCAGUGGAACCGGACUCAACCGGUUCUACCCCAGGCGAGUGAAACUCGUAAGGAAACUCGGAGGGGAAGGGAAACGCGGCGUCAAAGUCAGCUUCAUCCAUGGGUGAAAGUGAAGGAGUGAAGGAGUGAAGAAGGAAAGAGGUUUGAGAGAAGAAAAGUAAAUAAAAGUGGUAUGAAGCCGUUACGAGUUACGAGGGUAAUGAAGGGGAACGAGGAAGCUGAAGUUGCUGGUGGAGGAAGAUUUAAUAAUAACACAGCUGUGUGUGCAGAGUGGGACCCACACUGCGAAUGAAAAUAAAAAUUAAAAAAAAAAAAAAGAUAAAGUAAAAGAGAUGGUUGUGUUGUUGUGAUGCGUUGGAGGAUAAUAGAAUGUAAGAAGACAAGUUGCUUUUAUUAAGGUUUCAGGGUCCCUUUUAGACACUUGAAAAUAAAAAUAUUGGUGUGUAUGAAAAUGAAAGAAAGAAAGAAAGAGAGAGAAUUGCAGUGGUUGUGGACAUUUGUCCUUGCAUGCAUUUCACCUGCCAUUUGUCCACUCCGUUACUCUUAAACAAAAUUAAUCUUUCAAAUUAAUUAAGCGCCACAUUUUCCAUCAUUCAAAAAUAAAAUUUCAAAUUUUUAGACUCACCUAAUUCCUCUCUUUUUUUUGUCCCUACCUUCUUUUGGAAAAUUUUGGACUUUCCCAACAUUCACUUCAAAUUUUAAAUUCUGUAAAUUUUUAUAACGAUGAGGUCCUUUCGGUAAUCUUCCUCCACGCUGCUCUUUUUCCAUAUCAGACUUUUGCUUCGAAAAUCUCUCAGUUGUGCAAUUCCACGAAAAUAAGUCCCGAGGUCGUUAAAAGUUUAUAUGCGAGUUACACAGUUUACGCCUUCCCUACAAAACAAAUCCAUAAUACGUUUUCGAAAGCUUAAAAAAACAAAGAUUAUGUCAGAAAACUGCCAGGAUUAUGUUAAAUUAAAUACUUAAUUGUAAAAUAUUUAAUAAAAAUGUUACUGAAAUUGAUGGUUAGGUAUUUAUUACUAAUAGAUAUGAAGUCACAAGUUCUUCAAAGGAUUGAAUUUGUUCUUUUAUUUUUUGUAUAUUUUCAACAUUAAAAUUAAGUUUAGUAAAAACUAUUAAGAAGAGAACAUAGUUAAUUGAGAUUAAAUACAAGAUAGUCUUGCUUGGGUUGUGAAAUGAUGUAAUACAACUUUGACACUGUUAGUAAUAUAAUUGAUAAAAAGAUCAAUUUGAAAUUAAAAAAUGUAAAGAAUCAAAACUAAACUAAAUAAUAAAACAACGAAACGAAUGCACAUUUAAAUUUAUAAAGUCUUUAGAAAAACUAUAAGUAUAUUUUAUAUAAAAAAAAAUACUUAAAAAUGUAUUUAAAGGAGUUAGUAAACUUAAAUCUAUAUCCAGUAUAAGACACGUUAAAUUAAAAUAAUAAUAAUAAUAAUAAUAAUAAUAAUAAUAAUAAUAAUAAUAAUAAUCUUUAAAAAAAAAUGCGUUAAAGGGAGCAUGACUCUAUCUUGGUUUUUUUCUUGUUGGGUCAUUUUCAAGUCAAAAAAUGACAAUUUUAAAUGACAACAAUUGCCAUGAAUGAGAAGUUCAAAAACUGUAUUUAUCCUCUGUGGUGUGAUUAGUAACUUGAAUGUGAAUAAUGCAUUGAUAGUAUUGGUAUAAGAAGAUGGUGCUGAAUUGCAUAAAAAAAAUUAAUUAUCUUUUAGUUACAAAAUAUGUGCAAAAUCACCAUCAUUUAUUUAAAAGUUUACUUGAAUUCAGAGACUUUCUUAGAUUGAGUAUCGUGAUAUAUUAACAACUUUUUACAAUAAUUUUUUUACAGUUUUAUUAGUUUAUUUGAAUUUAUUUUUAAAGUAAUAUUUAUACCACCACGUUAUAAAAAAUAUUAAUUUUUUUUUUCUGAUAUGUUACUAUUAUGAAUAAUUUGCGAACCUGUUACGUUUAGUGUAGCUAAGUUGGAUUAUUGUUGUGAUAUUUUCCACCGUCAUAGAUUCGUAUUUUAAGCUAAGCAAAUGCACACUGUCACAUGUGACAAAAAAACACAUCCGAAUUUUUGCUUCCGACACAAAUAGAUUUACAAUUAAAACUCUUCCUUCUCUUCAAAGGCACGAUUAAAUCAGUGGGCCAAAACAAACUAAUCUAUACCAUUGUCCUACCCAAUUUUUUUCCUUCAAAUUGUUAUUGUAUGUGUUUCAAAACAAUAAUACUGUAUAUAUUUUUUGUUUUAUUUAUUUUAAAAACAAAACAAAGAGAAAUAGAAAUAUCUUCAAAUAAAUUCGAUCCAAAAAAAACCAAACAGUCUAUUAGCUAGUCAACCAUCGUAAUUGUUUUCGUACGUGAUUUUCAUGGUUUUAAAAAUAAUGUUGAGAUUAAUAAAAUACAUUUUGAGAAGGAAACAAUGACUUUCUAAUGAAAAUAAAUGGUUAUGAAACCAUGUAUUAUAUUUAUAUUCAGAGUUUUUUCCUCGGGAUUUUUAGCAAAACUAACACUUCUGAAAUAUGUUAGAUUGAUUGGAAAAGAAAAAUCUUCAAAAAUGCAUUUAAAAUUUUUUAAAGAGGUAUUCCAUAUAAAUUAUUUGUUUUCAUAUUGAUAAACAACUGCACGAAUCCUCUGCUCUAUAAACAUGCACAAUUAUUCUAGCUUUUCGUUAGGUAAAUUACAAAUCAUGAUAACUAAAACAUGUCCAACAUUAAUUUUUCUCGUAUAUGUCUUUUUCAAACUUAUAUGUUAAAUUACACCAUCUCCAUAACCUGUUUGAAUCUGAUCUCAAAAAGUAAUAUAUUGCUAUAUUAAUACUUGACGGUCAUAAAAUAAAAUCAGGAAAUUUAGACUAAUUUUAAGGACGUUAAAAUGGGUUAUUAUUUAGACAAUGUAAUAUAAGAUUACCAUUCUUAAAAUUGUAUUCUUUUAUUUUCAAAUAUAAUAUAAAAUUACCAUUUUUUAAAUUAUAUUAUUUUAAAAUUGUAGUUAACCAAGUUGGUCAAUCAAAUCGAUAGAGUAAUGUCAAACUACCAUAUUAAUAUUUAAAAAAAAAAUUCAAUUACCUCGUCAAAUUGAUGAGAAGUUAACAUGCGAAUUUGAAUUUAUUUUCAUAUAAAUAUCUUGUGUGUAGUGAAUAUAUUUUCUUGUGGCUAUUUGGAUCAUUGUCUUUUUUUAUGAUGGAAAAUUUUCAUUGAAGAAGAGAGAAUCCUAAGUAAGAUCUAUUUAAAUUGUUUGUGAUAUACAAACAAAUAAAAUAAUGGACAAGUUAUGAAUUGAUGCAUUAUAUAUAAAAUGAUUAAUGUUAGAAAUGGUUUUUGAUGGAAACAAAUUUUAUAAUCAUAUGAUAUUAUAUAUUAUUGAUCCAUAGUAAAUUGAUAUUGAGAUAAUGUAUAGAAUGUAAUCACGAUUCAUAAAAAAAAAAAAAAAAGUCUAAAAAGAUUGUAAACACUUUGAUGGAAGUGGAAAGAAAGGGAAUAGAUUUAUCUAUCAAGUGUAUCAAAAGAAAAGUUGGAAAAUGUUAAGUUAUUAAAGAUGUAUAUAUAUGAUGUAUUAAAAAAAAAGAAUUAGUAUAUUUCAUAAAAAUAUCUACUUGAGUCCAGACAAGACAUUAAUAAAUCAUUGAAAUUGAGAAAAAGAGAUGAGGAAGAGAUAGAACAUUCUGUUUGUGAUUGGUCCGCUAAUGUUGUUAUUGUGAAGGUUAUUUAACGAAAGCGUGAUUAGUUAAACAGGAAGUGGGCUAUGCGGCGUGAUCUUUGACUGUUGCUUUAAUUAGCCCACUCUAGUUACAAGAAAAAGAAGAGACAUAAUCAUUGUGACAUUUGACUCAUAACUAUGCAUUAUUACUGAUUAUUACUUACAGCUCUUUAUUGGUUCCUGCUGUCACUGCCAAGUAAGAAGCUGAAACACUGUAAGAUGGUAAAAAACCUCAGAAAAACAUCCUUAUCCUGUGUUUUGUUACCACUUCGCUGACAUCCAAACUUCAAUAAUCACUUUAUCUUCUUUGCUUACUCCUCCUAACAUAAAGGUCCCAUGCUACUUACUACGCAUGCUCACCUCGUGAUUUCUGAACAUGCUAACCUAAUACACGCACGAAUACGCCGCAACCCCCAAUAAUAGCCUCUGCCUCUUUCUCUUUUUCCUUCCACACUCUUUUUUCACUUCCUCCAUUACAUUAAUCUUCCUAAUGCCAUAGAGACCGAAUCAAUAAAACAAAUGUUAUUUUAAUUAAGUUCAAUAUAAUUAAAAAGUAAUAAAUUAAUUAAAAGUUUAUCUGUUUUGUUGAAAAAAAAAUGUUAAGAGAUAUAAAUCGUAUACUUUCAUUGCGUGUUGUUUUUAUUUUAAUUUUCAAAACAAAAAUCUACUGUGAAAAAAUAAUUUUGCUCAAUUUUUCGGUGUAAUAAAUGCAUCAUUAGUUAAGGUAGAUUUGUAAUGGAUUAUGUUCAUGAUGAAUAGUAUUAUUCAUGGUCCAAUAAUUCAUUAUGGAUCACAUAAUAAAUCGUUUGGGUACAUUACAUUGUUACGUUUUGGUUUGCACAAUUAAUUAUGAAGCAUACAAAAUAAUCAAGUAACUCGUUUAAAAAAUUACUUAUUUAUUUAUUUAUUCAAAUGCGUACUUGAUUAUAUAUAAUAUUUAAAAAUACCUUAAGGUAGGUUAAACAUAUAAAAUUGUUUCCAUUUAAAAUUUCUGUAGAUUUGACAUUAGGAAAUACAUACAUACAUAUAUAUAUAUAUAUAUAUAUAUAUAUAUAUAUAUAUAUAUAAUUUAUUUUCGAAUAUUUCUAUUCAAAUUAUUCAUUAAAUAUAUGUCAAAAUAAAAAAGUUUUAGUUAUUUUAAAGAUUAAAUAUAUUUUUAAUUUCUAAAUUUUAACUCAAUUAACUUGUGAUUGUAUUCAAAUUUUGAUAUAGUUUGCUUUUUCAAAUUUUAAAUAUAAAUAGUUAUAUUAUUGUUGAUCUAAAUGUGUUACAUUUUUUUAAUACGUCAAAAGGUAUUUCAAUCUCACGAUUGUGAAUUUGGUAUGGCAAACAAUUUAAUAUUUAUAUUAACUCAUAAAUACUUGUUUCCACUCUUGUUAUUGGUACUUUAUGACAUGAUAUAGAUAUAUAAUUUAAGGGUUAAAUAUGUUUUUAGUCCUGUAUUUUGGAGCGAUUUUGGUUUUAGUCCAUCUUUCAAACUAAAGUACAAUUUAGUUCUUCAACUUUAUAGAACUUUGGUUUUAGUCAUUUUUACCAAAUUUUUUUAAUUUUAUUUGUUGUUUUAAGCACGUUCAUUAUAGUAUUUGGAUUGUUUACAUUGUUUGACACAUUUUUGCUUCAAUGUUAACUGAGAAAUGUGUUUAAAACGGUAAAUAAAGUUAAAAAAAUUUGGUAAAAAUAACUAAAACCAGAGUUUUCUAAAGUUGAAGAACUAAAUUGUACCUUAGUUUGAAAGAGGGACUAAAACCAAAAUCGCUCCAAAGUAUAGGGACUAAAAACAUAUUUAACCCUAUAAUUCAACUAUUCUUAAUUUCAAAUUCAAUAUACAAUUCUAAAUAUUUCAUAACAAUUCAUCGUUUAAAAUAAUUAUGUUUACAUUAUAUUACAACAUAAUCAUCACAAAAUAUAUAUAUAUAUAUAUAUAUAGGUUGUUAGACUCAAGAGUUUACUUAAACUCGUGAGAGUCCAAUAAACUCGAUUUAUAAACUUGCAAGAGUUUACUUUAAGAAAAAAAAUAUAAAAAAAUAAGUCUUAAUUCAAAAAAUUAAUGUAAAUGUAACUCUCUUUAAUUGAGCAUGCUGAGUUUCUGCAACUAUUUUGAUAAUCAAAUUUUUCAUUUCAUCACAAAUAGAAUCACGAAGUUUAGAAUCUCCUUACUUGAUGUUUGAAUAUAAACAUUCUUUCACUCAUGGUCUUUGAACAAUAAUGACAUCUAACUUUAUUAUCAUUGCCAUUAAUAUCUAUCUCGUAUUCUUAUCCGAUAUAUCUAACCUAUUCUUAAAACAAUUUUAUUUAUACUUAUAAUUGAUGAUGCUAAAAAAAAUUAGGAUCAUUCUUGUGCAUUACGUUCUAAUUAUAUUGGUUUUUCAUUACAAGCUUGAAAAAUGUUAUAAAUAAAUACCAUGUUUAUAAAUUAAAAAGUAACUAAAGGUAUUUGCUAAGAAGGGAACUAGUGCAUGUCCUCACUGAGUUCUAACUCAUAACACUAACAUUGGUUUUAAAAGUAUAUCUUAACUUAGAAUUGACACAACAAAAAAUGUAGAGGGUGAACACAUGCUCAUGGUGACAGCAAAUAGCAAACGCAAAGUGACAACAACCUAAACAAUGACAUUAGACGACGACGACAAAUACAUUAUUAACAAACACGAGAGACUAGAUUAGAAAUAAGGAUGCGUCGUGCGAGAGUUUGUGAGAAGGUGAUGUGUGAAAGAGUUCAAAAGAAAAAAUAGCUUAAACACAAAAUGUCCUAUGAAUUUAUAUGACUAUUUUUUAGUUUAAAAUUAUUUAUCAUAGAUCUCACACACAUACCUAUAAACUUGUAAGUAUACACUUAUUUACGAUGUCGGAAAAAAAAAACCGACUUCGAUUCGAAUAAACGAUUUAAUUCACAAAGUUGAUAAUCAAACUAAUGUGAUUUAAAUUAUACAUUUCAAAAUUUAUAUCUCGAGUCGUCUACAUAAAUUGUCUCGUAAAAACUCAUUUCAAAAUUUAUAUCUCGUCGUCCAUAUAAUAUGCUAAAACAUCAAUUAUGUUUGCUUAACAAAUUAAAUUUUGUAUCUAAAUUCGUUCAUCCGCCGAUUGUGUUGCUUUACAAGUGACCUACUUGUCUAAGAACUAACAUUAACAUGUCUGUCCAUUGAAUAAAACUUUUACAUAUUACUAAAUUGAAUUUUGCCCAAUAAUAUUAUGAUGUGCUAUGACUAAACUCGUUCAAUUUCCAAAUUAAUAAAUUUUGCUAAGUAAAUAAAAUUAUAACUCAGCCCCUAUUAAAGAGAAGAAAAAAAAUCAGAUUUGUAGAAUUAAUAAAUUAUAAAAACCAUUUAGAGUCGUACACGAUGAAUAUAAAUGUAUAUGAUAUUGAUCACUUUCAGUAUUCAUGUUUAUUAGAUUAUUGAUUAUAUUCCAAAUAAAGUCAUAAUAAAAAAUUGAUAUAGCUUUUCCAUAUAGGACUUAUUAGUUACAUUGUUAUAUGUAUAAAAGAAAUUCACAUAUACAAAAAUAUUUUUAAAUAACAAUUAAUUUAGAAAUUAAACACACUUAAUCCUAAAUUAGACACUAUUUAAUUAACUAAAAAGUAUUGUUGUGUGUAAUUAAUAAUAGAGACCAAUGAUAAUAAAUAUUUAAACUUUUGAUAGUUAAUUAUAAAGACUAAUUUAGAAUCUUAUUCUUCUAUAUUAAUCACAAGUUUUUUAUUAAUAAUUGAGAUUAUUUUAUGCAUUAUAAUUUUUAGUUCAUAAUAUAAUAUCUAACUUAAUAAACAUAAUAAUGAAUUGUUUUUUAUCUCUAAAUGAAUUAUUAUUUAACGUUUUAUUAUACAGUAAAAAAAUUGUAAUUCUUUUAAUUUCAACGAAAAUUCGCAUGUACAAUAAAUGAUUUUACAACUUUUAAUAAUAUCUCUUAACUUUGUUCCAUAAAACAUCAGGUAAAGAAAUACAAGCAAAUAACAUUUUUAUUAUGGAAAAUAAAUAUUUAACAUAUUUUGUAAAAGGAAAAAGGUCAAGAUUUCCCAGUUUUUAUUCUACGAAUAAGUAAUACAUAUUUAAUUAUUCUUAUUAGUUACUGAUAGGAAUGAGAUACUCGGUUAGUUUAUAUAUAUUAUAAAAACACGCAUACAUACUUUAAUUAUUUGUAUAAUUUAUUUUAAUUUUUAAUUUUAAAAUAUAAUUAAAAGUAAAUAAAGAUAUAAAAUAUGUAUAAAAAUAGAGAAUCUAUAUGAACACGCAUUCUGUUGACUUUCAGUGAGUGAGAGUUUACACAACAAUAAAGUUUGAAAUUUUGACUUAAACGAUUUUACAAAACGAAACCCAUAUAUAUUAAGAGUUUAUUUAUUAAAAAAAUAUUUUAUCCUAAAUGUAUAUUUUUUGAGUAUUUGAAGUCUAGAAAACGGCAUCAUUACCACUUAAAUUAUCUGUAAGAGUUAUUAAUUUAUUAUAAUAAUAUGGUAAACUGAAAAUAGGUUUAUAUUUUUGGAUGAGAUACGUUAUUGUUUGAAUGAUAUGAUAGUUAUGAGUAGAAUAAAAUUAUAUUUUGAAAAUCUAAUAUUUAAAUAUAUUUAAAUGGGAUGUUACUAGUGAUGAGAUUAAAGAGGUGACAGUUACGUGUAAUGGUUUUAAAAAUAAAAAAGAAUUGAAUAGAAAAAGGAAGGUGUGGUACCUGCAUUCAUUGCAGCUAAUUUCUGCGUAGUCACAGAAAUCCCGUGAAUCAAGCCAUGGCUGACGUGGACUAGUCGUACGUUACGUUACGUGGGCAUCGAUGCAUCUUCCUUGGACUUCAACCCAACCUUCAUUUUCCUUUAUUCCAUUUCCCGCCCAAUUUCAUCUCAUUAUUUUAUUAUUAUUUAAAUAUAUUAAAUAAUUUCUUUCUUUACUGUAUUUCUCGAUUGAAAGUAAAAUCAUUAUACUAUAACAGUCAACCGUUGCUUAAAAAAGUGUCAAUUAAAAUAAUUUGAAUAAUUGCAUUUUAAAUCUUUUCAAAAUUAAACGUAUUUUUAAUUCUAUGUUUUCGUCUUUUUGUAGAUUGUUUUACUCUUGCAGCACUCUUUAAAUAAGUAGGUUAAAACAAGUACACAUCAAUUUUUUAUUUAUUUUUUAUCAAAGUUAAAUUUUACAAAAAAACAAACAUGAUCAAUUCUAAUUCAACAUGCUAUUAUAUAAGAUAGGUUAUCAUUAUUUUUUCACUCAUAUUUCUUGACUUCUCUAACUUUUUCUGAUUUAUUAAUUCAUGUUAAACGAGUUUUUAAAUGUUAAUAUUCUUAUGAUUAAAAAAAGUUGUUUAAAUAAAAUAAAUAUAAAAAACACUGACACGUGUAUUUCUUUUAUAGUAUAAUAAAAACAAAAGCACACAUUUUAGAAUGUAUUGAAAAUAUAAGUAUGUAAAUAAAAUUCAUUGUGUUUGGUUUUUAAGGUGAUUUCUCAUAAUUAAUGUGAAUCUUUUAAAUAUAUUUUUUUAUAUCAAAUUCUAAACAUUCGACACCGUUAAUAGAUUACCGAUAAAAAAAAAUCUUUCUAAAAAACACCUACCGGAAAUGGAAUAAUACACUGUAAUCGUGACAUCAAAGUAAAAAAAUAAAAAUAAAUUAAACAAUGAAAUGGAAAGAUGGAAAUGUAAUUACAAUAAAACUUUAAGAAUUUCGUUGUAAUUUACUAUAAAUUGCCGCAAAGACAUAAUUACAACCUAAUCAAUAAGUUAACUUUUUUUUUGUAACAUGAAAAAUGAAAAAAAAAAAUACAUGAAUAAUUACAACAAAUAUAGACUUGAAAUUUGUUUAUAAAACUUUAUUGGGUGGGCAAUACAUUUUAUAAAGGCGUUUGUUUUCUAUUAAUUCGGUGAAAUCCCAUGAAAUUGGGCAAUGAAUCUUGAAAUAUGGUUUUGAAGUUAAUGAUUUUUAAAUGUAAAAUUUUAAAAUCAUUCAAAUUUUUUAUUAGAUGGUAAUUUAGUUAUUUUUUCUAUUAUUUAAUUACGAACAUUUUCAAUAUCAUGCAAACGAAGAAAAAAUAUUAAUGUUUCGUUCAAUGAAAAAAAAUAUCAUAUGAUUUUAUUCUUUACUUUGUCACCUAAAGAUUUUGUAAUCAAACCUUAACUAAAGUUAGAUAUGAACUAAGUUAAAAUUCACAAGUUGGUAUAGAGUAUUACUUCAAAUUAGAUAUAGUUGAAAAAUAAAAAGGAUAAUGAUACUUAAACAACAUUUUUUUUUACAAUAUUUAAAUAGAUCCAAAAUUAUUCCAAAAUUAAUAAUAAUAAUCAUAAACACCACCAUUGACCAAUCACAAAAUGACACGUAGAUGAUGUUUAAAUGUUGUCAAAAAAAUAUUGCCUAAGUAUCAUUAUCCAAAUAAAAAUGCAAGUUAUUAUAGCACAAUAAAAAUAAACUUAUUUCAAUGAUUUUGAUAGUCACAUUAUGAGAGAAAGUACAUGAGAGAACAAUUAGUCCUCACCGUGAAGAUCAAGUUGCUCCAAUUAUGGUCGCAAUAGAAACUCUAUAACAUGCAUGGUUUAAUGGUAUGCACACACCUUGCUUUACUUUUUUUUUUUCUGAUUUAUACAAAAGACAAAUUUCUAAUAAUUACGAGUAAAUUAAUUUUAAUCUCAACAAUUUCCUUUUCAUGGCCUUGAAAAUAUGGUUUAUAUACAUAGUUUUCAUUAUCAUUAUUAUUGAACGAAUAAUUUAUAAGUAUACAAUGUUUUUUUGUUGUAUCUUGAAAUUUUCAUAUUUAACACCAUUUUUCUGUUAAUUUUUUUAUACUUUUACAAUGUCAUCAAUUGACAAAAGCCUUGAGAUUUUAUUUUUUUUUUAAACUUUAUUUGAUAGUACAUAAUAGUUUAAGAAUAAGUGAAAACUUGUUAUUUAAUUUUGCUAGAAUUUUUUAAAAAUUAUUAUUUUUUAAAUAAGCAAGUCAACACAAUUCGCAUCAUGCCAACAUUUUUAUGACACAUUGAAAGGUGGGUCGGAUUAAGUUGAUCCAUAUACUAAUUAAGUAAGCUAAGAUGGUUAAGCCUAAAUUAUGAUACUAUUGUGUUGGCAUCAUACAAAUCUACGGAAGUAGCAAGACGAGAGGGUAUUGUAAGUUAAACGCAAAACUCAUCAAUGAAAAAAAAUAAAAUCCUAUGUUUCAUUGAUUUUCUAAUGAUACAGAAAUAUAAUUUAGGUGAAAUGAAAUUUUUGUACGACAUUAUUUAUAAUAAAUACAAGUAACUAAUUUGAUAUAAAAAAAAUUAUGUUAAUUUUUGGGGGAUCUUAUUUUCGACGUGUCAUCUUUUAGUUCAUUUAGAACAUGCUUAAUACAAAUAUUCUAUUUCAAUGUGACUACUUAGAGUGUUUAAUUGGGAUGUAAUUGAUGAUUUCUACGUCUUGAUUGAAAGUAAUUUAGUAAUAAUUAAUUAUAAACAUGAUAUAUUAAUAAUGUGGUUGGAUUAAUAGAAAUAUGCUCUAUCAUAUUAAACUAUGAUUAUUUUAAUGACAUUGUUAGUAAUAAUAGAGAAACUACGCGAUAAUAAUUACAUGUUUUAAUUUUACUAGUUUUAUUAUAUAUAUUAUGUUAGGAUCUUAAUAUUUGAAUGAUGUGUAAAUAUGUAUAUCCAAACACAAUACUACAUGUAUAGUUAUUAUAUAUUGUUAUAAUUACCGAGUAACAUAUUAUAUGGGAUACUACAACUAUACAAAUAUUUCAUCAAGCUGAAUUGAAUUCAUUGCUUUCUACUAAUUAACUCCAACCUUGUAAGAAUGACAAAAUAUGAUGAACGUAAUACUUUAACUAGAUUUUAGAACCUUUUUUUUUUCUUUUUCAGGCACAUUUCUUUCUGCAUGCAUGCAACAAUUUUUCUAUUAUGUUUGUUUUCCAUUUUUUCUUUGUAUAUAAGGGCUUCAAUUAAAUUUUAAUCAAAUAAUUAAUAUAUUUCGCAUGCUUUAAUUGAAUUUAUUUAUUUAAAAUUAAUUUUGUAAAUAAAUAAUUAUUUAUUGUAAUUUUAGUCCUUUUUGAAAUUUAAUCCCACGUUCCUAAGUUACUCGUGUACAUCGCAAACAACGACAGACAAUUUAUUGCGAAAAAAUUAUUUAAAAAAUGGUUAAAAUAUGAUGGUAGUUGAUUAAACUGAUAUUAAAGAAGAAAGAUAUUUAUUUGGGGGAGAGAAUUGGCGCCAAAAUAGCUUUGGGUUGGUUGCCUAAAAAGAAGAGAGUGCAGUGUUCUGCUGAGGAAUUGCUUCACUUUAACUUUCUCAAUAAAAAAAAAAAAAAAUCUGCUGCUGUUGCUGUUGUUCUCAUAAAAAGCCUGACCACACUACAAUACACAAACACGCCUUCCAUUUUCCUCUUUUUACAUUUCGUUUUCUUCACCACCACACUUUCAAACAUUUUAUACUACAUAAUUUUUUAUUAUCUUAAAGUUAUAACAUUAAGAUAAAUAUAAAAUACAAAAUAUAAUUUACAAUUCUUUUACUUUUAAAAGUUUAAGCUAAUAUAUAUCCUUCGAUAAAUUAUAGAGAGUUUGAUUGGAAAAUAUUUAAUUGGAUUUGCGAUCAUACUUGAUCCACAUUUACAAUCCCAUAGUUACUUUUUUUUAAUGGAUAAUGUACUAGGGAGGACGUCCGGCCCUGUACAUCAGGGGAGAUGUCCGGACAAUUAACUUACCGUUCCAUAGCAAACCCUUCAGACGAUAUUUGUUCGUCCGGUUUGGCCGGACGGUUUCGCCGAAAGACGCAGUAUCAUUUACUGACAGUGAACGAGGAAAGAUCAGACCACUAAUUAAUAUCAAACUAAAUAGGAUUAAGGGCAUUGGGCCCAAUCUUGGGCCGUGAUUAAAGAAGGCUAAUCCUCGGCCCAUCUGGAAAACUAUAAAUAAAGGUCAAAGGUAACAGUAGGUAGGAAAAUUUAUGGUGCAUUUAUGCUACUUGAUAACUUUCUCUUUCUAUCUCUAUAAAUAGAACUGAGGACUGACUUGAGCGUCGGAGUACUUUUAGCACGUACCCGGCCGGUCAAGACGAACAACAGGAAUCAAGACCCAGAGUGAACGGAGGUAGAGCUUCAAGUCCGGAAAUUGUAGAGGAAGAUCCCACCGACCCGAAACAUUUUGGCGCCCACCGUGGGGCCGAAGGAUUAUACCCAAUGGUGACCACAAGAAACACUAACACUGAGGAUCAGGCGGAGAUGUUGAGGAUGAUGGAGCAGAGGAUGAUGGAGAUGCAACGAAAGCAUGAGGAGGAGAUGACCACAGUGAGAGCGGAGUAUUUGGCCCAGAUUGCGAAGAGUAAGAACGGGGGGACUGAAGGUGAGCAGGGCGAGGGAGCAGGAGAGAAGCGGACACCAUUAGAAGGGGAGAAUAGUAGUGCUCAUGCGGAGGGAAGAGAGGAGAGGGGGAACAAGGACAGCCGAUCACUGGUAAACGUGGAAGAGUCAACCACUAUGGUGUCGUUCGUACGGGAGAUUAUGGAAGUGCACAUAUCGGAGCAAUUCGUACCUCCUCAGUUCAAGAUGUACGAUGGGACGUCCGACCCGACCGCCCAUGUUAAGUCAUUCAUCAACACCAUGACUUUCUGUACCGGAUGUGACGCCAUUUGGUGUAGGGCGUUUUCUUUAUCCCUGGAGGGAGAGACUUUAGAGUGGUUUAACUCGUUGCCAGUCAACUCCAUUGAAAACUUCAAGAGUUUGGGAGAAAUGUUCAAAAAACAAUUUGCCGCAUGCAAUGCGGAGGAUAUGACGGUGGUAGACCUGAUGAACCUGAAGCAGGGCAAGGAAGAAUCUUUGAAAUCUUUCAUGGAUCGAUACCAGAAAACGGUCCGUAAAGUUAAGGGACUGAGUUUAGAACUAGCCCUCCAAUAUGUAAUGCCCGCAUUGAGACCCGGUCCUUUUAAGGAUAGUGUAUGCCGGAAUCCUCCUAGUACAAUGGAGGAAUUGAGAAAACGGACGGCGGACGAGACCCGGGUGGAGAAUAUGAAACAAAAUUACAGGAGAGAGCAGCAGGAGGCUAAGGCCGAAAAGGGGGAUAGUAGAAAAGGUGAGGGUCAAGGAAGUAGGCCGAAUGAACCUAGACUUCGCGAGGGGCCAAGGGGUCCCAAAUUCCCGCAGUACACCCCCCUCAACGCUCCCCGAGCUCGGAUAUUACAAGAGGCGCUGAGCACCCAAGUCUUACCCACACCUCAGAAACGGCCAACGCCUCCGGGAGCGGACCUGAGUAAACGAUGUCUCUAUCACCAAAACUCCGGACAUGAUACGGAGGAUUGCCUGACGUUGAGAGACAAGAUUGAAGAGCUAAUCUGAAUGGGACAGCUGCAGCAAUAUGUUAGAAGGGAAGACGUCCGUCGGACGGAGGGAUCGUCCAAGAGAGAACAUGUGAGGCCAAGGAGCCCUCCUAGGGAGCGAAAGAGGGAUGGAGAGCGCGGUUAUGGUCGGACGUCUGAAAGGCGAAGGACGGAUCGGAGAAGCAGGAGCCGCAGCCGAGGCGAUGAGCAAAGGAGACCUUUGAGGGGGGUGAUUAAUACCAUCUCCGGAGGUUUCGUCGGAGGAGGGCAUACUUCCUCCGCUAGAAAAAGGAGUAUCCGGGCAUUGAGAUCCAUACAUGUUGUAGACGUGCCGAGAAGAACCAUGCUGCAAAUCACGUUCACCGACGAAGGUUUUCAUGCCCCAGACCCUGACCAAGAUGACCCCAUGGUUAUCAACGUGGAAAUAGCUCGCUACGGGAUAAGCAGGGUGUUAGUUGAUCAAGGGAGCUCGGUCAACAUACUAUAUUGGAAGACCUUCCUGCAGAUGGAUAUCUCGGAAGAUCUGAUCGUUCCAUACAACGAGCAGAUAGUAGGUUUUGUCAGGGAGCGGGUGGACACGAGGGGGUAUGUCGAUUUGCAGACCCGCCUGGGUACCAGAAGGGAAAGUGAAGAAAUGAAGAUAAGGUACUUAUUAGUAGAGGCGAAUACGACCUAUAACGUCCUCUUAGGACGGCCGUGCCUGAAUGCUUUCGGGACCAUAGUGUCCACGCCGCACCUCACCAUGAAAUACCCGAACCACCGGGGAACAAUCUGCACUAUACGGGCAAAUCAGAAAACCGCCCGGGAAUGCUAUGCAGCCGGUCUGCGGAUAUAUCCACAGGAAAACUGACGAAAAAUGUCUAGAUCAGAGGUGGCUAUGGCUGAUUUGGACCCAAGGACUAAUACUGAGGACCGCCUGGAACCUCUAGGAGAAACGCAGCCCGUCAUGAUUGGACGGGAUCCCUCGCAAACCACCUCUAUAGCCACGGGGAUGGCGGACGCGACAAAGAAGCAAUUGAGGGCCCUUUUAUGGCGAAACCGGGACCUUUUCGCAUGGACGGCGGCGGACAUGCCGGACAUCCAUCCGUCUGUGGCGUCCCACAAGUUGGCCUUAGUAAGGAACGCCCGAUCAAUAUCCCAGAAGAAGCGACGAAUGGGAGAGGAGAAAAGGAAAACGGUAAACGAAGAAGGCAGGAAGUUAUGUGAAGCCGGCUUCAUCCGGGAGAUCACAUACACCACAUGGCUGGCCAAUGUGGUUAUGGUAAAGAAGUCAAAUGGCAAAUGGCGGAUGUGUACAGAUUACACGGACUUAAACAAGGCAUGCCCCAAGGACUCUUACCCACUUCCGAGCAUCGACGUGUUGGUCGAUGGGGCAUCCGGGCACCGAAUGCUGAGUUUCUUGGACGCGUAUUCCGGAUACAACCAGAUCCCCAUGUAUGCACCAGAUCGCGAGAAGACCGCUUUCAUGACGGAGAAGGCCAACUUCUGUUAUGAAGUAAUGCCAUUCGGUUUGAAGAACGCUGAGGCCACGUACCAGCGAUUGAUGGACAGGGUCUUCUCCGAACAGAUAGGACGAUGCGUGAACAUCUAUAUCGACGACAUGGUUGUUCGAUCGUCGGAUGAUGAGCGACAUUUGCACGAUUUGGAAGAAGUAUUCACUCAGAUUAGAAGGUAUGGCAUGCGGCUAAACCCGGCGAAAUGUACCUUCGGCGUAGCCGGGGGAAAAUUCCUAGGUUUUAUGCUUACCUCCCGGGGAAUCGAAGCCAACCCCGACAAGUGCGAAGCUGUGUUGAAGAUGGCAAGCCCAAGCACGCUCAAGGACAUCCAGAGGUUGGUCGGUCGGUUGACAACACUAUCCCGUUUCGUUCCGAAAUUAGCCGAACGAAUUCGACCAAUCGUCAAGAAGAUGAAGAAGGACGCCCCGGGAAAAUGGGACGCGGAGUGCGAGGAAGCAUUUGCUGAAGUAAAAGAAAUUCUGAUGAACCCCCCCGUUAUGAACAGACCAAUACCAGGCUAUGACCUGCAAAUAUAUUUGGGGGUGUCCGACACGACAAUCAGUGCGGUCCUGACACAGGAAGAGCCUUCCCCAAAACUUAUAUAUUUUAUCAGUCGCACGCUUCAGGAGACAAAGGUCCGCUACCAGCAAGUAGAAAAGGUGGCACUGACGCUCCUCCACGCCUCCCGCCGACUUCGCCAAUAUUUCCAGGGAUACCAAGUGGUCGUCAGAACAAAUCUUCCGGUGGCUAAGGUGCUCAGGAAACCCGAUCUGGCUGGACGAAUGGUGGGAUGGGCCGUCGAGUUAUCAGAAUUCGGUCUGCGGUAUGAACCAAGGGGUUCCAUCAAAGGCCAACAUCUCGCUGACUUCGCGGCUGAGUUGCCUGCGUUUGGGAGUGAUCAGUGGACCCUUUAUGUUGACGGAGCAUCCGGACGACAGGCCAGUAGGGCCGGAAUAGUUUUGGAAGGCCCGAACGGUUUUUUACUUGAAUACUCGUUGAUAUUUAAAUUCAAAACAUCCAACAACCAGGCUGAAUAUGAAGCUCUGGAGGCCGGAUUAGGGCUUGCCAAGGAUAUGGGAGUGCGAAACCUGGUGUGCCGGACGGAUUCGCAACUGGUCGUGGGACAGAUGAAUGGGGAGUUUCAGGUGAAGGAGGACCAUCUGCUGAAAUAUUUCCACCGCGCGACAUCCUUAAUGGCAACCUUCGAAAAGGUUGAGAUCCAACAUAUCCCCCGGGAACAGAAUACGCGGGCCGACAUGUUGUCUAAGCUCAACUCUGGCAAGGAAAAGGGUCAACUGACAACUGUUAUUCGCCAGGUCUUGCUCCAACCGUCCGUAGAAUGUUACGCCAUCACUUCGACCGGUAACGACUGGCGAGAUGAGAUAAGGAGAUUGAUAAAAAGGCAAGAGGAUGGACUAUUAGUAGAUUCAUUCGAAUCAAAGAAGAUCGCCCGGUUUAUAAUAAUCGGGGAUGACUUAUGCAAAAGGGGUUUCUCCACUCCGCUGCUGAAGUGUCUAUCGCCGGAGGAAGCUCAGUACGUGGUGAACGAGCUUCAUAACGGGGUGUGCGGAUUUCAUUGCGGACGGAGAACGUUGAAAGCCCGUAUCCUCAAGGCCGGAUACUACUGGCUGACAAUGGAGGACGAUACCCAAACUUUCACGCAACGUUGCCUCAGUUGCCAAGCCCAUGCCAACGACACUCGAGCUCCCCCGCACACGCUCCAUUCCAUUACUUUCCCGUGGUCGUUUGCUCAAUGGGGAAUGGAUAUCAUCGGACCUUUUCCCCAAGGCCAGGGUCAGAAAAGAUUUCUCCUAGUCGCGGUCGAUUAUUUCACAAAGUGGGUCGAGGCUGAGCCCCUUGCGUCCAUCACUGCCGGGCAGGUUCAGAAGUUUUGCUGGAAAAUAAUAUGCAGACUCGGCCUUCCCAAAGUUAUAAUAACGGAUAACGGCCGGCAAUUCAUCGAUAGAAAACUAGAAGAAUUCUACACUAACUUGGGUAUCAAGCAUUUCACUAGUUCGGUAGAACACCCCCAGACGAACGACCAGGUCGAAGCCGUCAACAAAACCAUAGUGGCAGAAUUAAAAAGGAGGUUGGGAGAGAAGAAAUCGGCCUGGGUAGAGGAGCUGCCAGAAGUAUUGUGGGGCUACAGAUGCACACCGCACGGCACCACGGGGGAAACCCCCUUUAAUUUAACUUAUGGAACCGACGCCAUGCUCCCGGUCGAAUUAGGCGAACCAUCGUUGCGCAGGAGGCUCGAUGACAUGUAGAUAAACGAUGAGGUGUUGAGGGUGGAGCUCGAUACCAUUGACGAACGGCGCGAUCGGGCGGCGCUCAGAGCUGAGGCUUGUAAACGGCUAAUAGAGUGCCGGUACAACACUAAGGUUCGCCCCCGAGAAUUCCAAGAGGGCGACCUUGUCUGGAGGAAGACCGGGGAAGCCAGGCGCGCGCCUCAACAUGGAAAAUUGGCAGCCAAGUGGGAAGGCCCCUUCAGAGUUGUCGCAACGUUGAAGAACGGAGCUUAUCGCCUUGCCCGGCCGAAUGGAAAGCUCCUUCCCAAUACGUGGAAUGCAACGCACUUAAAGUUUUAUUUUAGUUAAUUAUGUUUAGCCAAUGUACUCGUUCUAUGAAUCCUUAAAUGAAAAGCCUUCUUUUUCGUCCAACUAAGUACUUUGCCGGCAAAGCCGAUCAUAACUAAGGGAUCCGUCCCUAAUAAAAGGGAUCCGUCCCAAAUAAGUUGAAGGGAUCCGUCCCUAAUAAAAAGGGACCCGUCCCAAAUCAUUCCUAAGGGAUCCGUCCCACCAAGGGAUCAGUCCCACUAAGGAUUCCGUCGCCACGAAAUCCAUCUGACCAAAAAUCCGACCCGAGCAAACCAGCAUGGGCCGAUAACACUUAUAAAUAACAAAGUUAACAAGACAACAAAAAAAAAAUAAUAAAUUAACCAUAAAACGAACCAAAUUCAUUAUACUGUCAAAGUAAAGCAAAAAGCCGGACGGGUCGACCACGCAAACAAAAGCUACGCCUAAAUGUUUGCAAGUCGACCUCACGAACCAAAAAAUACAGUGUUUAAAAAGAUCAAACUCCUGGUUCGGCCUCAACAGCAGGCUCGCCGUCCGUUCCCACGACGGUUUCAUCAUUUAGAGCCCCUUCCACCGGUCGCAUCUCGCCCCGGUACACGUCCUUGUACAAGUCAAACCCAGCAGCGGUCGGAUCUACCUUAAGAAGAUAUUGCACCUGACGAAGAGCCUUAUUGAACUCUUUUUCGUGCUCAUCUAUCACGGUGGCGUCCAGCUUGUCGAAAGCUUCCUUCACCUCCUUCAGCUCGGCUUCAAGACGCUUCUUGUCGGCAUUGGCGGCCAAAAGAUCUUGGGAUAGUCGCUCGCUCUGUUCGGCCAAUUCACCUCCCCUCUUGGCCAACCGGCGGACCUCCAGCUUUUCCUUCUCGACAUCUUCUCUUAGACCAUCCUCCACCAGCUUGGCAUCCGCCAAGGACUUGUUCGCUGCAACUAGUUUAGAAGCAGCAGUGUCCAAGUCCGCUUGCAACUUGGUUUGCGUCUCAGAGCAAUGCUCAUGCUCCUUAGCCAGCGUCUCCACACGACGACGAAGCCCGACAGAAACAUUCUGUUCAUCCGCCAACUCGCGGAGCAAUUCCCGAGCCUCGCGACCUUUACUGUGCUCGCGAGCUCUACGAGCCAACAUGACGCCCCAGCUCAUCAGCUCCACGGCCGCCCCCAGCAAAUCUUCUUCGGAUAAUGGCUCAAUGACCGCCAAUUGAGAGGAACUGGGCCGACACUCUAUCUUUGACGCCGCGUCAAAGGCAAUGUCGAAGACGCCGGCCGGUAGGGGAUGGAGUGAAGAACUUCCACUGCGACGGUGGCGUUUGGAGGAGGACUUCCCUCCAUCAUUGGUUUUUCUCUUCCGCUCGAGGGGAACAGCCGAAUCCGGAGGAGAUUCAGAAGAAUUGACCAACGUGACAAAAGCAGGGUCCGGCUGAACUUUCUCUGGCGCAGAAUCAGCCACCAUCUUUUCAGGGCGAACCACUGUCACGGGGUCCGCCACCUUCACCUUUACGGGUACGCCAGUAGGUACGCCGGAUGACGUUGCCCGAUUGGAGGUCGCGGACGGUUAUGCAACACCUUUCGAGCUGCUCCCCUUGCGCCGUUGAGUGGACGCAAGCCAUCCAGACUGGCGAGGCUACGGUAGUGACAUAUAUCCUGAGAAGAAAACAAGAAUUUAGCUAAGUCAAAAAUGAACAUAAGGAAGCCGAACCGGCCAUAAGCAUACCAAAGGCUAUUUGGUCAUAGUCCUCGUAUUUCAGGCAGUCGACGAAGCCGCGNGCGUUGAGGCGACGGGGAAGGUCCUUUAUGAUCCGAACGGCGUCGCGCUCCANAUUAUUCAUGCGNGCUACACCGUACGCCCUUAUUUUGGGAGGAUCCUNUGUCCAANAAANGGGGAACNGAGGAGUGCCUUCGGCGUCAAAAAACUCNGACUUCCCNGAAUCCUUAAUUAUUAUUNUGAAAUAUCUUGUCUUGAAAUUUUUGAAAGAAUCGAAAAACGGCUUGAAAAGAGUGCGAUCAUGUACAGAGGAUAANGACACCCACCCUCGUCGGGGGGAAGGGCNGACGUUGAAGUAGUGAAGAAAUACCNGAACCAUGGGCAUUAAUCCNACCGNCGCACACAAGGAUGUNAAGGCUUGCAUGGCCGCCCACCCGUUNGGAUGCAGUUGGGUGGGAGCUAUUUUCAACUCCUUAAGGACGGACNCUUGGAAAUCGGUGAACGNCACUCUGACGUACAUUUGCUCGAACAUAUACGUAUACACGAAGAAGAAGUCCUCGGUNCUGGAACCCUUCCCAUGGUAUACGCGCUCGUUCGGAUGNCUGACGCCCAGACNGAAUAGCNGGGCAUCCUCAACAUCACGGGCGAUGUAGGACCGAUUCGCCCACCACGNCAGUUCAUCGUGAGUCCCGAAAUCUGAGGUAAACUCACCUACUUCAGGGGAGGCCCACCGAUAACCCCGGAUGCGAGGCCAUCCUCCGGCCGGCUCGGUCGACUCGCGAUCGAUCCGUACUCCGUCCUUGAGCAAAAAUAUGCCAUAACCAUUAACCAAUCGAUCUCCGUCCGGAGAGGGCGGAACAGAGCUCUCAUCCUGAUGCGCGUCCAGAAACGACGAAGAAACCGAACUCNGAGACGAAACACCCCCAGCCCUAACCUCCGCCUGUUCCCUUUCCAAAGGGACGUCACCGGUCCUUCCCGCCGCGCCCCCGCCGCCACGACCCGACGACUCCUCCGAUGAGUAAACGGUAAUCGCAGCCAUUUAUUACCUGAAGGUCGAAAUUCUGAAGCAGUAAAAAGAGAGAAAUAAAGAGUGAGCAGCGACCCUUUCCCACCCCUAUUUAUAGCCAAUUUUUGAAAAUCAUCAUGCGUUACCCACCGUUCGAUUCAAAGCACAUCAACGGCGCAGAUUCGCGACGGUUCACUCCACCACUCCAAAUGACCAGUGACAGGAGAACACGUGUCUUUUCCCGCCUAGUGCCCCCUCAAAAAUCGCAACCGUCUCCCCACUCUCAGCCUUUCAGUUACUUCGUCACUUCAGGCUUGGGGGGCCUAUGUACCAGGGAGGACGUCCGACCCUGUACAUCAGGGGAGACGUCCGGACAAUUAACUUACCGCUCCAUAGCAAACCCUUCAGACGACACUUGUUCGUCCGGUUUGGCCGGACGGUUUCGUCGAAAAACGCAGUAUCAUUUACUGACAGUGAACGAGGAAAGAUCAGGCCACUAAUUAAUAUCAAACUAAAUAGGAUUAAGGGCAUUGGGCCCAAUCUUGGGCCGUGAUUAAAGAAGGCUUAAUCCUCGGCCCAUCUGGAAAACUAUAAAUAAAGGUCAAAGGUAACAGUAGAUAGGAACAUUUAUGGUGCAUUUAUGCUACUUGAUAACUUUCUCUUUCUAUCUCUAUAAAUAGAACUGAGGACUGACUUGAGCGUCAGAGUACUUUUAGCAGGUACCCGGCCGGUCAAGACGAACAGCAGGAAUCAAGACCCAGAGUGAACGGAGGUAGAGCUUCAAGUCCGGAAAUUGUAGAGGAAGAUCCCACCGACCCAAAACAGAUAAUGAUAUUUAGACAACUAUUUUUGACAACAUUUGAAUAUCAUUAUGUGUCAUUCUGUAAUUGGUCCAUAAUGGUAUUUAUGAUUAUCAUUAUUGAUUGUGAAGUAAUUUUGAACCAAUCACAAAAUAACACGUAAAUAAUGUUCAAAUAUUAUAAAAAAAAUAUUGUUUAAAUAUCAUUAUCCCUUUCUUAUUUUGCUUCAAUUUCAGUGAUUUCUAGUAAAUAUUUAAGAACAGUAUUCGAAUUAUUUGAGCAUACAGUUGUGUUGAUUUGGAAUGCAUGUAAUCUUAAAUAAAUAAAUUUUAUUAAAGUGGUUAAUGACAAACGAAUUUGAAUAAUAUAUUGUGAUUUUACUAACAAUCCAAAUUUAUAUUUUAAUAUUUAUAAAUUUAGAAAUAUAUUCUAAAUUUUAUUUUUAAUAUGACAUUAUUUUAUUAAAAUUUAGUAACAAGUUAUAUAAAAUUAUAGAUUAUUAUAAUAAUAAUUAUUAAAAUUAUUCAUGUCAUUUUCUUAAGUUAAUGAUUUACUAUAUUUAUGUCAUUUAUUUAAAAUAAAUAUAAUUUUUUGUAUUAAAAAAUUAAUUUAAUAUAAAUUUCCAAUUUAAAAAACUCGAUUGAAUUAAUUUAUAAUCUGAAAAUUUUGAAUCUAAUUAACAAUCCUCAAUUCUACUUUGAGAAAGGAAAUAGGUUACAGGGUCAGAAAUUUACAUUGAAUUAGCAUUGCUUUAUUAUUCUGAGAAAAUACAUUUAGCAAUUGGAUACUACACAUUUCUGCACCUGCCACAUCAUUGUCCAUAGAACUUAAUUUUAAAUUAAUCUACGAUCAAAUUUUCUGUAUCAUUAAACUAUUUGAACAUGAUUGAAUUGUUAGCAAUUUGAGAACUUCAACUAUUUCAACCUGUUAUGAACGGAUUGGACGCAUAAUUUUAUGAUUUUCAAGCAUUUUAAAUUAUAGUAGAAAAGAAAGAAUACAGUAGAAGGAGCAUGCUGAAAAAGCUUUUUUAGUAAUUUAAUUUUAAAUUUAAAAUAAAAAAGUUAAUUUGUGAUGUCUUUUUAUAGUAUUAGAAUUUUUAUUUUCACAUAACUUUUUCAUAUUAAGUAAAUAUGUAUAAUAAUAAAGAUAACAUAUGUUUGUUAUUUAUUAAAACAAAGUAAGUUGUCUCCUAUUCAUAUCUAUAAAUAUUUCCAUACAAUUUCUUCUAAAGAAAUUGUAAACUCUCAUAUAAUUUCUUUUUUAUAUAAAAAUUGCAUAUUCUCUCAUUAUAUAUAUUAAAAAAUAAUUUCAUAUUAUUUUUAUUAUAAAAAAAUUUGAUAAUUUUAGUUUUUUAUUUAUUAAAAUUUUUCUUUUAUUUAUCACAUCAAUCAAAUAAUUUACAAAUUUUUAGAAACUCUAUCAUCAAAUCUAUUUACUUUCAGCUCCAUUUUUUUUUUAAAAAAAUAUAUUUAAAUUCAUACCAUUACUUUCCCUUAAAUCUAUCUUGAUAACAAUGUGUGGUAUUGUAAUGGACAAAAGAAGUUUAAUUUAAAAAGUUAUAUUAAUUACGUUUAAUGAUUUAUAAUUAAUUUCAACAUAAGUUAGAAGUACACAUGCCAUAUAUUAUUUAUUUUAAAACUCUAGCCUAGUUUAAGCUUACAAAAAUAAAUCUGUCAAAUGAUAUUUUCAAAUUUAUAAAAUUCAUUCCAUAAAAAAAUGACAUAAUAUUUCAACUAAUUACGGCAAUUCUAAUUUUCUUUUACAUUUCUCUGAUUAAUAUUUAUCCCAUAUUUAGACCUAAAUGUGGCCUAAAAAUGUCACAUUAUCUAACCAAAACUUUUAUAAUUGAUGUAAGCGUUGUUUCAUCCAUUUUAUACUCUUCAAAUCAACUGGAAUAUCAACAAAAAGGAUAACAAAAUGAUAAAAAUAAAACUCAAGAACUUAGUUCAUCAAGUUCAUAAAAGUUUAUAAAAGACAUAAAUCUUUGAUACAUAGCCUUUUCGAUUUUCAACACUCAAAUUAUAUAUUAUAUAUGGAGCUCAAAAGUCACACUCCCGAAUAGAUUAACAUAUUCUUUUGACUUCUAAUUUGGAUUUUGAAUACUUAAAAUCGAUAAGAGCUGAUUUUUUCUUUUUUAUUUUCUCUACCUUUAUUCAAAUUGAUCGAUUCGAUUCCGUUUACUAUAAACACAUUCUUUCAUAUAACUUCUUUAAUCGUUUCAAAUUCAUGGACAAAAUAAUAUUCCUUGUGAUGUACGAUAUGUUGUUUAUAACUUAUGAUGGAACCUCUUGAUCGCAUAGUUUAUAGUAGUUAUACUUCUAAUAUUUGGUAAACUUUUUCAAGUUUACAUACCAACUAGUGCAAAAACGUUGUUUAACAUCGGUUAAUUUAGGCUUUUAACGUCACCUUUCCAACCGACGUCUAUACGAGUGGCGUCUAUGUGAUGUCAGAAUUCAUCCAACCGACGUCUAUAUACACGUCAAUUCACGAUAUCCACCGACGUCUAUAUAGACGUCUGCUUAUACUCAAACUGACGUCUAUUUACUCUAUAUAGACGUCCGCCUAUUCCUAAACUGACGUCAACAUGAAUAUACAGAGGUUGUAAAUGACACUAACCGGCGCCUAUGUUCUUAUAGAUGUCGGACCAUGCAGUAACCGACAUCUAACAACAUUAAUUGUAGCCUAGUCGACGUCGCUUUUUCACUAAUCGACGUUUGACUACGUGACGUCUAAUUGCCUGCGGAAUUAGGUGAACAACAUUAAUUGUAGCCUAGUCGACGUCGUUUUUUCACGGGAUCCAACGUCUAUUUGACGUCUAAAGCUGAACCGGUUGACGUUUGAUUUUUUGUCAGUGACGUAGACGUCGUUGCCCUUUCUAGCCGACGUCUAAGCUCCUUGAAAUUUGAUGGGCAGCAUUAAUUGCAGCCUAGUAGACGUUGGUCCCCAUGAACACCGACGUCAAUGGACUGUCUUAUCACAUUCCUCAGACAAUUGGACGUCAGUUUGCGGCAGGUGCGACGUCUAUGAAGUCAUAGACGUCGCCGAACAUCGAAACUGAUGUCUAGUUUUCCAAUUUAUUUACGAUAAUACUACCGUGCAGUAAUAGACGUCGGAUUUUCACGGAACCGACGUCUAAUGAAUGACGUUAAAGAGCGUUUUUGCACUAGUGUAAUUCAUUAAAACCUUUCUAAUUUGACGACUUUAGUGGCAACAACUUAUUAAAAUCUCAUCUUAAAACUGCCAAGAUGAGAGCAAACUAACAAUACAGAAUAUUAUAUAGCUCUAAGAUUGAUUAAACGAAAACACAGGUAUCUCAAGAGCUUUUAAAAAGGAUACUUGUAAUCAUAACACCAGAUUUCUUGGCAUCUUGGAGAGUUAAUGCAAAAACACGACCCUGAACUUAAGUUGCUUAAUUACCCCCAACGUCUUCAGUGAUGAUAAGCUACUCUCGAACCACACCAAAAGAAUUUGAUGAUCAGUCAAGAUGCUACAACUAGCUACUGGUGCUUAUGCAGCAUGACCAGAGAAGAAUGGCUUGUCACUGCAAAAGGGCAAUCUCAGGAUUUGACUUUGUUCAUGCAGUGAUAACAAUGCCCCUAUAUUGUCCAAGCAAAUCCCAAAAUAAAUUUUGUCACAUCUUCAACAGAACCAUUUAAGUUUAAAAAGUGGGUUUAAGCCUAACUCAAUCCUACAAAACCGAUUUCUAAGAUGAGAAUUACAUCUUACUUUAUAUAUUAUAAAUUAGUCUUAUAUUUAGUCGACGUGGGAAUUCUAACAAGUUUAUUCAAUCAUUUAUAAAGAAUAUCAUAUUUAGAUAAUUUUAUGAUUUUAUUUAUUUUUAUAAUACCCAGUUAAAGAUUGAAUAUAUGUAUAUGCCUCUCUCUAUAUAUAUGUAGUUGUUAUCCUCUGAAACAUUGUAAUGGAACUCAAGAAGUUAGGUAUCCAGUGGAUAUCAUGACAAGUACCAAACGCAGUGAUACUGAGUCAACCUCAAAUCUCUUUAUUUUUCUUCCUAUAUUCUGCUAUAUCAGUUUUCCUAAUUGCAAAAUUUCCACACUGUAGGGUCCAACCUUCACAUGCCUAAACCUGACAUGCACGACCAUUCUAUCCCCUCCCCAACCAAACAUAAUAAGAAAAGUUUUCUUCCAUUUUAAUAAAUAAAAAGGUGCAAGUUCUCACAACAUUCAUCUGUUGAAAAGGUGUUUAGCAUAAACAAACUCUUCCAAUUAAUACUAACUUAAUUAUUCAUAGAUAUUUCUUUCUUAAUAUUUCACCUUAGUGUAUAGAAAAAAAGUUCAUUAACUCUACACAAGAGAGACAGAGAGAGAAAACAGUAGAAGUCAUUUUCUAUAAGAUGUUUUGUAUUGAUUGAUUCAGAGUACUUCAUGGAAACAGGAAAAUCUGAGAUCUUCAUCAAUUCAAAAUAGGUCAUGCAUAGUUGCACACAGUACUUUUCUCGGUAGGAUCAGAUACAUGGGAUGCGAUUACUUUGGGAUUAGGUUAGACUAUGGACUAUAUAGAGUAUAGUAGUAUAAUAGUAUAGUAGUAUAGUAUCCUACACAACAAGAGCUCACGUGACUAGAAAAACAAUCACGUGAUCCAUAUACCAAAAUGAAAUUUUAAAGUCAUUUGUCAAACUUGAGGUAAAAUGCAGAAGUGGCUGCAGCCGGAAAGCAUUUUCUUAUAGUGGAAAUGAUCUAAUUAAACAUUGUUUUCACAUACACAUAAUGGGAUGAUGUUGGUCGUUGAAUACUUUAUUCAUGUUCAUAAAAGUUAAUUUCUUGAUUAUGGUGUGGUCAAACACAUAAAAUGACUUAUCUUGUCACAGUUAACCACAUUUAAGUCUAAAUUAAAAAGGGAAGAACCAGGUCGUUAUCAAUUGUGCCAACAUUAAGAAUACGACACAAACAUUCAACGAUCCAGCUAAAAAUAUAUGCGUUGAAAUUGGCUUUUUUUGGAGGAUGUACUCCUUCGUGUUCUUACCAAUCCUGCCAAACAGAUUUCAGCUUAGAGAAUAGUGGUGGACUAGGAAAAAAACAGUACAAAGCCACAGACAAAAAAACAAACACACAGAGAAGCAGUAAUGACUUAAUAAUAUCAACAAUUUGGAUCUUCUAUAUUGUUAUUAUUGUUGUUAUUAUCAUUCUUUUUCAUUGAAUUUGGACCACUACGCUACAGAAAGGGCACAUAGUUUAGCAGGUUAUUCGCGACGUGAAUAUAAACAAAUGGGUAAACAGUUUGCUGCAAAAGGACAAUGAUUCGUAUUACGAUGAUAAGAGGUGUCAUCGGUUCAAGCUUUAUGCAACAUGGGUUAGCGUGGUUUCACUUUAUUACUUAAUCUAUGAAAACGUCGUCUUCAGUGUGUUACAGUAAUGGGCUAAUGGGCAGCACCUACCACUGUCGAUGAUUUUGCACUUUAAGGAGCCACUCUACUUCAUUAUUGUGCCUUGUAGACAUUGAACUCUGUAUUGCGCUUAUAUCUAACUUGAACAAUCAAAUGAUGUUAAUUGAUUAAUCGGCUGGUCUACGUUGAAACUUCAUUUAUAGAACAAAAAUUGAUAACCUUGAUGCUCCCUUUUACACAGUUACUUUAGUAGUUUACACAGUUCCAUUGUAAGGUAUAAUAGAUGUGAUUUGUGUCUAAGUUGAACUGCUUUCACUUUUCAGCUUGUAGCAGUGUAAAGAAAUGAGUAAAGUCAUCAUCAAGUUCAACAUGUCAUGGCCACUAACCACUAAAAUUGAAUUCAUUCUUAUAAGAAAAAGUGAAUAAAGAGUAUAGCACUGUUAAAAAUAGAAAAACACAUCAUGACAAAGAGGAUAUGGCUGUAAUUGGACCAACAAUCGGGGAGUAGUUUCAAGAGUGUGAAGACAUAACUCUAGCACACAACCAGCAAACGUCACAUUUUUUAAAGCAAACUGAUGAAAAGUAUUAAUAUAUGUUUUUUUUUUCACACAAAAGACAUGGAAAGAAAUAAUGACAUUUUGGUAAAAACUAGAAAUUAAUGACGGACGAAGGUUUCUGAGUGGUGUUAUGCGGGGAAGAGAUGGCUUGUGGUAGAACUCUGCUUUAGAAGAUUCCUGGGGUACAGAGUAUCGAGUAAUUGGCAUCCUUGAGCAAAAUUUGAAGCUUCGAUUACCGACGUCAAGAAUAUUUUUUUAAUAACUUUUUUAACAAUAUUUAUUUUUAAUAAUUUUUUUUAACAAUACUUUUUAAAAAUAAGUUUAAACAAACUAAUAAAAUAAUGAUACUUGACUAUUAAAAUAAAAUUAUUAACUUAUAAGAUUUUAUAAAAGUAGAAAAUGUUUUCUUCACAAUAUUUUUUAUAAAUUUUUACAACAUUCAGUAACCUGUGAUUGGUGUAUUGGUGUAUUUCAUGCACAAAUAAAAUAGUCACACAACUUAUUAUCAAAAAACUGUUAGAAAAAGUUGUUACCGUGUAAUAUUCCUAUAAAAAUCCUGUGAACGAGUAAAUUACAUUUCAAAGAAUUGCACAAUAGUCAAUGGUGAAAGGUCUCGGAACUAGGGUUGCAUUCUACGGCUCUCUGAGCAAGGAGUGUCCAGACGUUUUGUGCAUCAGUACAUAUACAUAUUUUCUAUUAGAAAAAAACUAAAAUCCUUUUUUUUUUCCUAAAAAAUUUAAGGUUUAAUGGCUCAAUACGUUUCUAUUUUCGUCCAAAAUCUUAAAUAAGUCAUUUUCUUUUUUAUGUCUUAAUUGAAUUCUUAUUUUUGUAAAAUUGGAUUAAAUAGGGUCUUUCCGUCAAAUUGAGAUGAUGCCGUUAAGAAGGAUAUGUUGACAAUGUAGUUUCUUAUUAAGUGGAUUAAAAAUGUGACUGAAUUGUAUUUUUUUAAUUUUUGAAUUAAAAAACAAAAUAUACAGAAAAUACAAUUUAGUCACAUUUUCAAUGUCAUGUAAUAAAAAAGUACAUUGUCAAGACGUCAUUUCAAUUUGAUGGAAAUGUUCUAUUUGAUUCAAUUUAAAAAAAAUAAGGACUUAAUUGAGACGCCGAAAAAGAAAAGGACCUAUUUGAGAUUUUAAAUAAAAAUAAGGACCUAUUAAGACAUUAAAUUAAACCAAAAUUUAAUUAGAUUUAAUUAAGUUUUUUUAACCGCACAUAUUUUACAUAAAUAUUACAAAAUAAAGUUAUUUAAACUUUAUAUAUAUAUACAUACACUAAUUGCAGUCCUCGUAAUGGUUUCUUGACUCUCACGGGGUAAAAAAAUCCCGACGAAAAAAAACACUUAUACGAGUAAUAUGAAAAAAAACAGGCUAUUAUUCCAUGCAUCUAUAUAUUGUUUAAUAUCUCAAAAAUACCCUUGUAAUGCAUCCAUACAAAACACACACCGAUAGCUAUGCUCUUGGUAUUCCAAAUAUUACUGCUUCAAAUCUGAGACAUCAUUUCAGCAAGCUGCCUAACUGUAACUCGUUGUUUGGGUUACCCACAUUAAAAAUCUGUCCAUUGGCCCUGGCAGGAUUCUCCUGUUAACAAGUUAUUCUUCACAUUAGUGGAACAACAGUUUAAAGAUGAACAUCUGCAAUCAGAUAAUCUGCCCUUAAAAUCAAAAAGUAUCAUCAAAGAUUGGAAAUGGGAGCCUCCAAUCACCAGCAAGACAGCUUCAAUAGCAUCCUUAAUGUACACAAAGGUUCUCUGGGAUUGACCACCAUCCACAAGCUUGAGGGGCUCACCACGGAAGAGAUUCUGCAGAAAAUAUUUAGAGCAGUGGUUCAAAAAUAUUGAGCAGCAACAUUUAGUGUUAAAGAAAGUCCUAAAUCUCAUAAGCUCCCAUUGCUAAAACAUGCUCGAAGGAUUACACGUGCUUAACCUUUAAACAUAUAUUUGGAUAUUUUAUAUAAGAAAAAAGAAAAAGAAAAGAAAGAAAAAAAGAAGAAAAGAAAAAAGAAAAAAAAGAAAAAAAUAAAAUAAAAAAGUAAACUGAUAUAGAAAAAUAGAAUAAAAUAGAAAAUGAGAAAUAAAAAUAAGAUUGAAAAUUAAAAAGAUAAAGGCCAAAAUGUUAAUGGAGGGGUAAAAACUAAAAAGGUGGUUGCAUGAAGAAAACAGACCCAUAGUUGCCUAUGGACUCGAGGCCCAACUAAGAAAGGGAAAAAGAAAAGGGAAAGGGGGUGCCAGGAUGAGUAAAGGGGGCUCAAGGCCCAACUGAGAAAAGGAGAGAGGGUAUCAAGAUGAGAAAUGGGAGGUGCACAGGAAUAUUAGCACAUACUUUCCCAUAUGCUAGCAUUCCUCUACACUACAAUAUGAUAUCUGGUUUGACGAUGAUUUAUAAAUACCAUAGAACUGUAGUAAUGAUGGAAACAGCAACAAAUAAAAUGGAUUAAAUCCUCAGGUAUAAUGCACUCAAAUGCAUUACUAGUUAACAAAAUAUUUAUCCAUAGACUGCAAAAACCAAAAAAGAUAUAUUCCAGAAAUAUAUGAAGAUAAAUUGAACUAGACAACAACAAUUGCACUGCGUGUCCUCAAAAUAUGUCAGAUGAAGAAUCAUAUGUCAGUAGCCUCAACAUUACAACAACUGAAAACAUCAACAUGAGCCUGACAUCCAAUGAAAAUGCUACCUUGCAGCUACUAACUGCUGAUCAACGCUGUCAUAAAGGCAUGGAAAUACCUAUAAAAUACACAAAUGGAAGGAUUGCAAUGAGUUCUUGUCAUCCAGUUAUUAAAGUUCGUACCUCAAAUCAGAUAGAAAAAUGAGAUGGGUGCAAUUUUCUAAUCAACAAUGUAUUUUAACAAAAGAAUCCUGAUAUUUCUAGUGUACAACAAGCCUAACAUCAAAAAUAGAUAUUUACUCACGCAGACAACUUCUAACAAAGUGUGAAAGGAUCCAAUGGCAUUUAAUUUUGUUUUGUUCUAAAAUAUAAUCAUAUGCAAAAAUUAAAAAAUCUAGAUAUUUGUCUUCUUGGGCAUCAGGUAUCUCUAGUUUAACAGUUAACACAUACCUGGAAUGCACUGCAGCAAAACUUCAUCAAAAUAAUACCAUCAUGAUUUAUUUUGGCCUUUUUUAAGUCAUGAUGCAACUAUCGUGGAACAUUUUCUAUCAGACGCCUAAACAAAUCUGUCUGUCUAUUUAUCUACUAGCAUAAGAUCCAAAGCUUCCAAAGUUUAAAAACAAUAGGUAAAAUGAAAAUGAUAUUGACCAGUUUACUAUAUCUCACACCCAAUACCCCAUUCAUCAAAUCUUCUACCAAAAAUUUGUCCCUGCAAAUGUCCAAUGUUGUGUUCUCAGCGUUGCAAUCAAACACGACCAGAGGUUGUCGUGCACCUACUUAGAAUCUCACUCUACUGUAUUCGGUGUUGCCCCGAAUCAAGCGAGCCUGGGGUUGUUCCACGGCUGUGACGCAUCUACCCUUCAUGAUCGGAAAGUUGGGAGUUUUGCAGAAAACAAGACGAGCUCCGUUUUGGCAUGGGAUAAAAGGGUUAAAAACAUAAGCUUAGGGGCGAAGAAUGGCAAGGGUGAUGUGGUGAAUACGGUGGUGGAAGAUGGAAAAGGAGAAGUUGAUGAGGCGUUGAGAAGAGGGUUUUUGUUGUCAUGGAUUGUGAGUAACUGCACCUGAUGCAACAGCGCGCGACGCCGGAGACGAAGCCCCUAAUUCCUUUUUUAAUCCACCCCUAAUUAUAUUCAUUUACAUGUCAUAAUUAUAUAUUUUUUAAAACAAAUUACAAUGCCACAUCAUCAAACAUUACACACCUGGCAGCUCUGCCGUUAGUGAACUUAACGCCGAUACCAAAAAGGACCAACUUGAACAAUUUUUGCGAAAGAUAGGACUAAAGUGAACUUUUGAAAAAAGAAGGGACCACUUUGAACAAACCCUCCCAAAGGAGGGACCAAAAUAGGUAUUAAACCUAGAUUUUAACAAUUAAACUAAAAAAAAGUAAUAAAAAAAGGUUAUUUUUGUAAUUAUAAAAGAAGGUUAUUUUUAUAAUUAUAAUAAAAUUUAGAAAGUUGGGGAGGUGAGGGAGAAAACGGAGAGGAGAGGUGGAGGGAAUAACACACAGGACUCUGCCAAUAAUGCUCAUGUGACACCCGGGCACUGACGAGGGCGGGGAGUGAUCGCCGGUGCAAGAGGCAUGGUGCGGGGGGCACGGACAAGGAACAGCUCCUGGCAGGCUUCAAGUGGAAGGGGCACAUGGACGAAUCGAACAUACACCGAAAUGAGAGGGAUCUGGAGAUUGUAUAGGUAUGGGACUAUACAGUUGAAGGAUAGCUUAAAGGAAUUGAUUUGACUACNNNNNNNNNNNNNNNNNNNNNNNNNNNNNNNNNNNNNNNNNNNNNNNNNNNNNNNNNNNNNNNNNNNNNNNNNNNNNNNNNNNNNNNNNNNNNNNNNNNNNNNNNNNNNNNNNNNNNNNNNNNNNNNNNNNNNNNNNNNNNNNNNNNNNNNNNNNNNNNNNNNNNNNNNNNNNNNNNNNNNNNNNNNNAUGGACGAAUCGAACAUACACCGGAAUGAGAGGGAUCUGGAGAUUGUAUAGGUAUGGGACUAUACAGUUGAAGGAUAGCUUAAAGGAAUUGAUUUAACUACUCAUAUCAACAAAUGCAUUUGCUUUUCGGUAGCCUAACUCAUAAUGGAAAGCCUCGUUGUUUCAAUUUAUUCUUUUUAGCUAUUUGUUAAUAAAUCUUAUCCCUUAAAAAUGGGAUGUUUAGUUUUUCUGUUCCAUAAAACUAGCCACAUUCAAAUUUGUGCGUACAAUAUAAAAUAAAUAAAAUAAAAUAAAUAUAAAACAAAAAAUAUAAAAAAAUAUAUAUAUAUGCACUAGUGCACAGUUAACUAAAAAAACAAAAAAAGCUAAUACUUAUACGUCUCCAAUAUUCUGUCUUAAAGAAAUUUGUUUAAGUUAAACUUAAAUUGUUAAGCAUUUAUCUUUUUUUUUCCAUCACAAAAGAUAUGCUCUUACGAUAAAAACACUUUUAAUAAUAUAAAUAAGUUAUGUUGCUUAAUUUUAAAUUUUGUUACUAAAAUCUUCAAAAUAUUGUAUUUUGUGUUUGCUAAUGUGUUUGUGUUUUGUAGUUUUAUGAAUUUUGGAGACUGUAUUCAGAGGAUUAAAACAAAAUGAGAUAUUCUCUUUUACAUCCUAUCUUUGUAUAUAACAGCUCUCAUGAUUGCAGUGCAUGUAAAGUAACAUUGAUUUCUCCAGCUCUCAUGAUUGCAUUGCAUGUAAAACAACAUUGAUUUCUCCAGGUAAUUUCAAUAUUUGAUUAUUUUGUUCUAUUUCUUCUAAUUAUUUCCAUCUUUCGAAGUCAUUGAAGAUGGAAACUACUCUACAAAUGUUUUAAUAUUCAAUGUUCUUAAACUACAACUUCAAAUAGCACUAAAAUAUAUUGUCUAAUCUAGUCUUUCAAAUAUUAAGAGAAAUAAUAGGAUUAUCUAGCCAAAUGCUCUUUGCCCGGCCUUCUCAAAACAUCUGCUUCUUUCAAUUUCUCAUCAGUCAUUUUAUUAUUACUACAUUACAUUAAUGCAGAAAUGGAGAAAUAAUGGCUUAAAUUUUAGAUUGUAUAACUUGUAUCCAUAUUUUUAACAUUUUGUUUUUCUUUUAUUCUUCUGUACAAAUUUUAAUAAAAUUAUACAUUCUAUGAUUGUGUCAUUUUAUAAACAUUAAUUAGUAUUAAAUUGGUUUGAUUAAUAUUUUUAAUGAUUAUGUAAGUUGUGUUUAUACUUAAGAAAAAGUAUAUACAGUAAUUUAAAGAAACAGACAACUAAUAAGUCUUCUUGCUGCCUUCCAAACAGCUGAUGAAUUCGCAUUCCAAUUCGAUUCCACUCCGAAACUUUAAUUAUUCUGGGUUGUUUUUUCUUAGCAAUUAUUGUAAUUAUUAUAAUAUUUUUUGGUAUUGCAAUACGUGAGAGAAGACAACAAUCCAUUAUUGUGGUUCCAGUGCAAGAGGUGGUUCCAGUGCAAGAGGAUGAGUUUUAGAAACCAUUAGAUACGAAAUUUUUUAUACACAAAUACAACAAUUUAUUUCAGCUGAAAGGUAUGAGCCAAGCUCUAAAACCAUGCUAGAUAAUGAAUUUAGGAACUUAUGUUUGGAAGGAAACUCAUGAUUUUGCAAUUGAGUUGAAAGAGUUUGAAAAUCACUUUUUUAAUCUAAAACGACAUGGGAGAGUGAAGAAAACUCACUAAUUAGGGUUAUUUUUUUUACAUUUUUGGGCAAAAAUAAGAUGGAUAUUACCGUUCUAAGUAAAAUUUUUAAUUACAUAUAUGGGUAAGUCGUGCAGUUCCUCUAUGACUUCAAAUGAAGAAGUAAUGGUGCACAAAUUUGCACGACUUCUCCACUGCAACAUUAAAAAAAAUGAAGUUGUGCAUCUCCACAUGUUUUCUAUCUAUGAUAAUCUAUUACAAGCAUCUAUAAUCGAUUACACAGUGUUAAAAUCGUGUAGGGAUAUGUGCAGCGGAGGGGAAUUCGAGUAAGUCUUUGUAACCAGAGAGAAAAUUGGAGAAAUUAUAAUAUAAUUAAGAUAUUAUUUAAUAUGAUUUAAGUUUCAAUUACAAUUAAUUAUAAUUAAUAUAUAAUUGAUUGUUGUCUUCUUUUACAUAUUUGCGUAAAUUAUUAGGAUCCUUUUUCUUGCACUGGAUCCACAACAAUGGAUUGUUGUGUUCCCUUACAUAUUGCAAUACAAAAAUAUAUUAUGAUAUUGAGAAUAAUUGUUAAGAAAAAAGAACCUAUAAUAAUUAAAGUUUCUUUGUGAGUGGCAUCGAAUUGGAGAGUCUUCCUCUCUGCACCUUAUCUCCUUCUUCUUGCACCUCUCAUUUUACCAUUAUAUCCUUCAGAGAGUAAUAUUUUGAUAUUUGGAAAAGCUCCCUGUUAGUCAUGCAUUGAUUUCAGAUUGACGUCUUUGUCAUCAACUGCAUUUCACAUAUUUAAAAAAGGUACACCCCCUUCCUUAUUUGCUGCAUCACUCCUCUCUUCCACCGUUUGCUGUUUGGGAUUCACUGUUUAGGAUUGAUUUGGUGCUGAUUGAUCUGGGGUUGUGAUGGUUGAUCUGGGUUCAGAUCUGGUAGAGGUGGUGAGAACGGAAAGUGCGUUUGAGGGAGUUGGGAGGUGCGGCGCGGUGCUGAACCGCACUUGGGAGGUGCGCUUGAGGGCACCGCACUUGGAAGAUAGGGUUGACGGAGCCGCACUUGAAAGUGCGACUGUUGCUUCUGGAGGUGCAGGGUGCAGAACCGCAUAUGUAAGGUGCGGUUGAAGGGCUCUUGCGAGGUGCGACAUGGAGAUCUGGGAGCUGCGGUCUAUGUUUUUUAGUUUUAUAUAACAAAUUUCUUUAGCGUGUCAAAAUAUUCUUAAUAUAAUACUUAAAUAAAUAUAAAUAAAAAUUAAAAAAUAUAAUAUGUAACAAAAUAAAAUUUACGGAAUACGGAUAAUAAUAAUUAUUCAUAUAAAUAAUAAUUUAAUAAAAAUUCUAAAUUCAUAAAAAAAAUAAAAAAUUAACAAAAAUUAUAUAUACAUAAUAAAUAAUAUAUAAAAAUUAAAAAAUUUAAAAAAACAUUUUAAAAAAUAUUUAACAAACAAAUAAAAACCAAUUCAAAAUAUACUCAAAAAAUAUAUUUUACAAUUUAGUUAACAAUUUAUCCUAAUAAAACAAAUUGUAGGAACAAACUGCAAUUCCUAAGAGAAAUCAACCGGAGUUCCAACGACUCUCUUAGCCACAGUUCAAAUUGCGGACAACCAAACACAGCACCCCAUCCAGACGCAGAUCCACCUGCGGUUUACUGUAACCGCGAUUCGAAGGGCGGACAACACGUCGGCCAUGCACCCCACCCAGACGCAGAUCCACUUGUGGUUCGCCGUAACCGCGAUUCGAAGGGUAGACAACACGCCAGCCAUGCACCCCACUCAGAUGCAGAUCCACUGUGGUUCGCCAUAACUGCGAUUCGAAGGGCAGACAACACGCCAGCCAUGCAUCCCAACCCAGCCGCAGAUCCACCUGCGGUUCGCCGUAACCGCGAUUCAAAGGGCAGACAACAUGUCGGCCAUGCACCCCAACCCAGCCGCAGAUCCACCUGCGGUAGUCAUCAAACGUAGAUCCAACAGCGGUGCCACUAGAUCCGCACUUCGUUGUAGGGAAGAUCUGCUACCCAGCUAACGACACAACACAAGCAACCAACAAGGAGGGAAUGAGCUACACUUUCAAUGGUAAAAAUUAGAGAGGAAGGGAAGACGACCUUAAGGAGAAGGAAGAAAUAUUAAAGGAGUGCAGGGUUUGCUUUGCUGUGAGAUGCAGAAGGGGGCCUAGGGGUUGCUGUGAGUUGCGGAAGAGGAAUUUAAGUUUUUAUGAAACCAAUUCAUAAAGCCUGACAGAAGUAGAAUUAGACUUUAGGGGUACAGUUGGUAUUAAUGCAAAAUUAGGAGGUGUAGGACGAGGUGAAGGAGGUGUAGGGAGAAUUACUCCGAAUUGGAAUGCAAAAUCGUUAAGGUGAUAGUGGUCGGCCAUGUUCAUAUGCAAACUAAAACAGUUUGGAAGGGCAGUAAGGGGACCAACGACGACGAGUGUGUUAGGAGGAAACCCUAGCUCUACCUUCUUUGUCCAACCGAGAGAGUGUUUGAGAAUGAGAGCCUUCUUCUCUCCAAAUGUCAGGCUGCACCUCCACUCUUUUCGAAAGCUUUCAUGCUGGAUUUAUCUUAAAAAGCACAAAUUUAUCUUCUAUUAAAAGCUAUGACUGUAGAAUCAUGGUUUCAUAAUAGGUUUGGUGAACAGUGGUUGGGGUUUGUGAAUGGCGUCGCACAAUCCUCUCUCUCACACAGCCCCCUCAAAGGUGGUUUGGGCCUUCAAUGAUGUUUCGAAAUGGUGGUUGCAGAAAAAUGAACGAGAACAACAGACAAUGAUUAUAGGUUCGGUGAAUGGCGGUUGUAGGUUCAGUGAACGACAUCGUACAUCACUCUCUCGUACAGUCCCUCAAAACCCACGUCAAUGGUAAUUUAGACCUUCAACAAUAUUUCGAAAUGACGAUCGCAACAAAAUGAACAACAAAAGGCUACAAGUUUGUUGAAAGACGGUUGGAAGUUCUGUGAACAUCAUCGUACAAUCCUCUCUCGCACAACCCCCUCAAACCAUAUGUAAAUGGUGGUUUGAGCAUGUUUCAAAAUGGCGGUUGCAGAAAAAUGAACCGCGAAUGGCAAACAACAAUUACAGGUUCGAUGAACUGCGAUUGAAGGUUGGAUGAACGACAUCGCACAACUCUCUUUCUUGAAAAAUUAAAAUAUGCAUAUCAAAUAUUCUUUUUCACCAAUGUUUGUUCUUUAGUGAAAAAUCUGCUACUAUUUAAUAAGAAAAUACAAAAAUACUAAUGAUCGUUAAAAGUAAAUGAUAAUCUAAUAAGAAUAAUAAUAUAAUCUAAUAAUCACACUGAGAUUAUGAUCCAUGUUUAUUUCUUGUAAUAAGAAUAAGAAAAAUACCACAAUAAGACUAUUUCAUAAAUUUCUUCCAAAGUUGAAGUUGACUUAUUCAAAAACACAAUUUUUAAGUGAUUAGUGUUUACGUCACAACUCAAAACUUCCUCAAGUAUAUUAAGACUUUGGUGUGUAUUAUGAGAGUUGCAAUAUUUUCUUAAUAAAAAUUGUAUGUAGAAUUGAGAAGAUCUGCAAGGAUAAUGAUAUUUAGACAACAUUUUUUUGACAACAUUUAAACAUUGAUUACGUGUUAAUAUGUGAUUGGUCGUAAAUUACUCCCUAAUCAAUAAUAAUAAUCAUAAGCACUAUUAGGGAGUAAUUUAUGACCAAUUACAGAUUAUGCAUCUAGACGUUAUGAGUCCAACAAUUCAAAUCACAUAUUAAAUUUAAUUCAUGUUUUUUUUUUGGGUUAAAUAUGUUUUUAGUCCCUAUACUUUGGGGCGAUUUUGGUUUUAGUCCCUCUUUCAAAUUAAAGUACAAUUUAGUCCUUCAACUUUAGAAAAUUCUGGUUUUAGUCAUUUUUACCAAAUUUUUUUAACUUUAUUUGCUGUUUCAAACGCGUUUCUAAGUUAACAUUGAAGGAAAAAUGUGUCAAACAGUGUAAACAAUCCAAAUGCUAUAAUGAAACGUGCUUGAAACAACAAAUAAAGUUAAAAAAAUUUGGUAAAAAAGACUAAAACCAGAGUUUUUUAAAGUUGAAGGACUAAAUUGUACCUAAGUUUAAAAGAAGGACUAAAACCAAAAUCGUCCCAAAGUAUAAGGACCAAAAACAUAUUUAACCUUUUUUUUUAAUGUAGAUGCAGUGCUGUGAUUUAAUAUUGGUGCCUAAAUGAGAUAUUUUCAAAUAUUUUUGAUGUGUGUGGAAGAAAAAGAUUAAUAAAAACUUUUCAACCUCUUACAGUUUUAAUUAAUUUUUAAUAAAUAUAAAAAUUAAACACAAUUGAAAAAUAUUAAUAUAAAAUUGUAUAUAAAUAUAAUAAAAAAAAUACAAGAGAGUUUUUCUCUUUUCUUUAUCUAACCUUAAUAAAAGAGAAUUUUAUUACUCUUAAAUAUAAUUAAAAAUACAUACUUAUAUCUUUAAUAUCCAUGUAGUAUAAAUAUGAAAUAAAAAAGCAUUAAAAAUUAAACGUUAAAUUUAACUUAUCCAUACGAAAUUCAUUUAUAAAAUAAUAUUUAUAACUGCGAAUAUACCUGUGGGCUGGGAAUGUAUAUAAAAUUAAAGUUUAAUUCUAUUAACUUAAAAUAUCAUACUCAUUUUAUUUUAGUACAAAAAAUCAAUUCUCGGAUUGCAUUUCACCUACUGCCAUGGACUCCAGUGCAUGUCCUGGAGAUGUUUCAAUCCUCUCUGCAUUCUCUUGCGAAGAUGCUUGAAGGAGCAUGGGAUGAGCCGCAUCACUUCAAAAUAUCACACUCCCAUACAUAAAACUUUCACUUCUCUGUAUGCAAAACUCUUCCACCCACACGGCCAUUCUCCCUACUGCAUCUUCCACUCAAAGGUACUCAAAUUCGAUAUUACAGCCCAGCAUAGCACCUCCGAUUAAUUGCCCGGUACACGUCGCACCUUAUGAAAGUCCGCUUGGGGAGCAUAGGCGUGAUAGCGGAACCAAAUGUUGAGGUUUCAAAGGAAGGCAGAUGCUGAAGUUCGAGAUCUAUAACCAGUUCUAGUUGUGAAACCCGUCGAUCCAGUUGGUUUCAGAAACAAGGGUAGCAUCCCAGCUUCCUUCCAGCAGCGCAUUCUUGGAUUAACUAAUCCAUCCAGUGUGCAGUCGGUGCAGCAACCAUUUCACCAGCAGAACUAGAUUUUCUAUAACCCUUUCCGACAAGCUUAAGAAUUUGUUAUCCUGCAUUCACCCUAGCAAAAACUGCUUCCAGAGUNUGUUUUUAGCUGCAAAUAGGGGGUAGUGGUUGACCUUUCCCGGCUAUAAACCAAAACCAGGAUCCGCUUUACGAUGUAUUAGUAGAACCCUCCGCUUUACGAUGUAUUAGUAGAACCCUAGGAUACGACGCCUUGCUCCUUGAGUAUCAUGGGAUUGAAUACCCCGACCUCCCAGAGGCUCCCGAGAAAAUUAUUUUACUUAGAGAAACAGAUAUUCAACAAAAAACUGUUUUCAUACAAAAAUAGAACUAUUUUCUUAUAACUCUUCUUUUAAACCAUAUUUUUAACAUGGGAGCCAGUGACUGAUUUGAAAGGUGAUUAGAGAAACAAACACAUUAGAGUUAUAAGAAAAAAUAGAUUGUUUGUUUCUCUAAUCACCUUUAUGUUAAAAAUAUGAUUUAAAAGGAGAAUUAUAAGAAAAUAAUUCUAUUUUUGUAUGAAAACAGUUUUAGAGUUGUGUAAGUUAUCUUCAUAUUCUAACCAAAUUAUUUCAAAAAGACAAUACGAAUAAAAUAAUUUUUGUUUCUAUCACAGAGACAACAUAUGUUUUAGUGAGUUACGAUAACAAUUUUUAUCUUCUUAGUGAAAAGAAACCCAAAAACAAUUUUGUAAGUAAUAUAUGAUAAUUAACGCGUUCUUACUGUAGUAGGCAACACCAAAAUUGUUGCUUAUCUUGUCGAUAACCCUUUUUAAAAAGAAAUAUUUGAAAAAAUAAAUAAAAUCAACAGCUAAUGGUAGAAAAAUAUUCUUUUAUACAUGAAAAAUAUUAAUUAAUUAAAAUGAACAAUGCAGAAGUGAUGGAAAGAAAAAGUCCUCCUAUUUAAUUCACUUAAUUCACUUGACAAAAAUGUCUUAUAAAUCACCAUCAAGUUGUAUUAUAUCUUUUCAGUUUAAAAAAGGCUUCAAUUUUAUGUGUAAACAUAUAGGUAUAUAUUUCCUUCACUUAUGCUUAGGAGUGUGUGGGAUAGACAGCUUUUGUGUAGAUGAUUUUUUGGCAUCCUGCAAGGUUGUUACAACUAUCAAGUUACUUGUAUUGGUUUACCUAUCCUGUCUUCCUCUUAUGAUUUGGUUUAUCUUUUUAUAUGUGAGUUAAAAUUUUUCUCUUUUACGCCAUUUACAUGUUAAAUUAUAAUUGCAUUUUAUAGAUACAUGUUUGUGAUUUCGUGUCGACUCUUACUUUCGAGAAUUAUAAUUUACUGUCCACAAGUUUCAGUCAAUUGUAAGGAAUGGACAAUUUUCCAUCCAACCUUCUCUCUUCUGUCGUUCUUUUCCACCCAACCUUAUGUACGGUAGCACACUGAACUUGUCUAAAUGACAAAUACGAGCUCUAACCCUAAAACGGUGCUAACAACUGAUUUAUUAUUACCAUACUGUAUGUAGUUUGAAAUGUUGAUCUACUAAUGAAGAUGAAAAACUUACAAUACUAUAGUGAUUGGCAUGACCGAAAUUUGGUGCCAAAUCAUGUAGAAUAGAUUAAUAACUUUUGCACAAUAGAAAAAAAUCAUAUAUUUGGACACAAAAUAAAAAUGCGUUGCAUUUUUUGGAUAAAUACUAUAGAGUUCAGGGUAAUUGCACUAGAAAACAAAUAUGCAUACCCAAUGUAAACAAAGAUGCAGAACUGUGUCCAUUCCCUGAGCAAUAAACGAAGCCAGUAAUUCUCUGAAGAGUCAAUGAUGUUCAUAUAUUGUUAGAAGUGGGUUUUAGGCCUAACUCAACCCCACAAAACCGGCUUCUAACAUAGUAUCAGAGCUAUGGUUAGAGCCUAUCCUAGCGAUAUUUGUUUGGCAGAUUGUUCCACCCGUUAUUGGGCCGUUAUCAGACCACCCAUUAAUUUAUAGUCUCACGCUCGAGAUGUAUAUACCUCAGCGUGAGGGGGGUGUUGGAAGUUUCACAUCGACUAGAGAUAAGACCAAUUUAUAAUAUAUAAGUGGGGUGCAGACCUCACCUUACAAACCGGUUUUGUAGGGUUGAGUUAGGCCUAAAACCAAGUUAGGCCUAAAACCCACUUCUAACAUGGUAUCAGAGCAAUAUAAAAAAGGAAUAUAAGUAUAAAAAUAUAUGAAUAUAAAUGCACAGAUAUGAACAGAGAAUAAAAUAAUUCCAAUCCAGCUGAUUAAGGAUGCAUAGAACACAUUAAAACCAGUCACAGACCUUCUAGUAUUAGGGCAAGCAGCCCAAUCAUAAUCACUAAAAGCCGUUGGAGGGAAAGAAUAAUCCCUUCCAAAGGAUUGGAAAGAAAUUGACUGAGAGUACUAACAGCAAAACAUAAAUCUGGUCUUGUGUUGGUUAGAUAUAAUAACCUGCCAAGAAGUCUUCUAUAGGCUUGCACAUCUAAAUAAGGUUUUCCUUCUGUCUUGGAGAAUUUUGUGCCUGGCUGUAUGGGAGUAGAAACAGGUUGACAUCCCAACAAUCCUGCAUCUUCUAGUAACUCUAGAGCAUACUUCCUUUGUGACAAAUUAAUGUCGUGUUGAGAUCUUGCAAUUUCUAAGCCCAGAAAAUACUUGAGUUGGCCUAGAACCCACUUCUAACAUGGUAUCAGAGCCAUGGUUAAAACCUAUCCUAGCGAGUUCUAAGUGGACAAAUCUAUUUCUAUUCCACUCGUUGUCGAGCCAAUAUUGGACCAUCCAAUUUCUGCUAUCACGCACGAGAUGUCUAUACCUCGGCAUGAAGGGGGUGUGUUGGAAGUCCCACAUCGACUAGAGAUAAGGCCAAUUUAUAAUAUAUAAGUGAGGUGCAAACCUCACCUUACAAGGCCGGUUUUGUAGGGUUGAGUUAGGCCUAGAACCCACUUCUAACAUGGUAUCAGAAACCUCACCUUACAAGCAGUUAGGCCUAAAAGUCACUACUAACAUGGUAUCAGAGCAAUAUAAAAAAGAAAUAUAAGUAUAAAAAUAUAUGAAUAUAAAUGCACAUAUAUGAACAGAGAAUAAAAUAAUUCUAAUAUAUAUAUCUAAAAUUGAUGAGAUAAAUAUUAUUAAAUUAAUUAUUGUUAGUUAGUAAACAUUUAUUUGAAUUUAAUUUUUUUAUAAUAAAUUUGUAUUUGUAAUUAAAUAUUAAUUUAAUAAUAAUUUUUUAUAGUAAAUUUAUAUUUGUUGUGAAUAUUAAUUUAAUAUUAAUUUUAAAAAGUAAAAUUUUACUAAAGGAUAAAAUAAGAAUGGGAAAUGGAACCGUGGUGGUGGAGAGAGUAAAGCCUAACUAAUUAUCUUCGUAAUUUUUUACCUAAUGUAAACACUCAUUUGCUUUCUACCAUGCUAUAAUUACUAAUUGUAGCCUUCCCUUGUGUCACCCCCAAUUAUUACCUGCAGUCCCAGACUAACUGUCAAUGCUAGCAGAUUUCCCUUGUACUACCCACAAUUACUACAUGCACUCCCAUCAAAUAGUCUAUACUGGCAGCCCACAGCAACACAAGUCGGCAGAAAAUGAUAUUUUUACCAACAUAUUUUCUUAUAAUAGAUGUAAAUAAUUAUUUUAAUUAAUGUUUUAUUAAUUAUUUAAUUUUUUUAUAAAAUGUUUUCAAGAAGAAAUUAUUAAUGAAAUAUAUUAAUUACGUAAAAUUUAUAAAUUAUAAUUUGUAGUUAAAACUGUUAUUUGAUACUUUCAAAACUUUAGAAUUAAAUUAAGAAGUUAUGUAUGAUGAUAAUACUAAAGCUAAAUUUAAUUGGUAUUUGCUAUUUAUAGAUAUGAACUAUUCACUUAUAAGACUUAUUAAAAUUUUAUAAUUUUAGCUUUAAAUUAUAGGAAAGGCCACGUUCACGACCUUUAAUUCUUCAUUUCUUAAGCCACUAAUUAUUAUCAUUAAUGAAAAUUUUGAAUCAAAUGGGUUUGCUUCUCAAUAAUUUAAACAAAUAUCAUUUUAUGCAUAUUAGAAAAUUAAGAGUUUUUAGACGUCUUUUUUAGAAUAAAAUAUUAUAUAUUUAUGUAUAUAAUUCAAAUAUACUUUUGUGUAAUAAACUUCUCAAAUAUAUCAAAUAUAAUAAAAAUUCAAAUGAGAAAGCUACACAUUAUCAAAUAUUCAUUCAGUGUUAAUAAUUAUCAAUUUUUAAGUUCAGUAAAAUGUGAAGACCUAUGUAAUUUGUUUGACGAUCAUGAUAUGUCUUUACGAUCACCGUGUCAGAAUUUAUAAAUCUAACUGAUCAAUUUCAAGAAUAGAACAAAUAAGUUUCGACUCGUUUUUCUCCUUUCAAUACCAAAUAUAAUGUAAAAUAACCUUGUAUUGUUGUAUGUGUAAUCAUAUUUCUUCUAGUCAUUCUUGGUUCACUUAGAGUUGUAAAAACUCUGCUCGCUUCCAAUUUAAUGUUUCAUAAAUUUAUCUAGAGAUUCCUUGUGUUUCAUUUUAAAUAUUCAUAAUCAAUAGCAACAAAACAAGUAUAUGAAAAAUUGUGUUAAACUAGAAUACUCUGACAUUUGUUUAUUAUUUUACUUGUACAAAAUAAGACGAUUUCUUUAUUUAUUGAAAACUAGACAUAAAAGCUUUAAUUUGAUUAAUUAUAUAGAAGGUUUUUGACCUCCGGAAGCGUCUCAAAUAAAUUGAGAAAAAUCGUAACGUUGCAAAAAACACCUCCACUGGUUACUAAAUUCACACCUCUACUUAAUUAGUUGUGCAUCCGAGCUAGUGCAUCUCUACUGGUUUGUUAAGUUCACACUCCUACUUAAUUACUAGUGUACCCCACUGAUUCACUAAGUUGACCCCUCUUCAACAUGUACGCGUAUCCCAAGUAGGCCCCACAUGUGACCAUCCAUUCUCCCCAAAAACUCAUCUCACGUGAAUGUUGAUGUUAAAGACCAAACUAUGCACAAUUUCAUCAAAAGAUAUUUCACUCUCUCUCCCAUUAAAACUGUGGACACUACUUCAUUUCAAAACAACUUCUCUUUUUUAAAUGGUCAUGCAACACAAAAUGAGAGUACAACCCUCUUUACGGUGUGUUCACUUGAGGGUGACAGGAGGUGAUUGGGGGAGAGUGAUUGAGUGGAUUUGAGGAUAAUUUUUUUUGUUGUUUAUUUGAGUGAAUUUGGAGGUAAACGAGAGUGAAUUUUGAAAUAAAAUUUGUGAGAAUUGGUGUAGGAUUUAGUUUAUAUGACAGAUUAAAAAAAUUUACUUCAAAAUCCACUUUCGUUUACCUCCAAAUUCACUCAAAUAAACAACAAAAAAUAUUAUCCUCAAAUCCAUUCAAUCACUCUCCCCCAAUCAGCUCCAUUUAUUAUAAUUAAUUAAAAAAAAUAAUAUAAUUUAAUUAAAUUAAUAAUUAUUUUUAAUUAAAUAAAAUAAAAUUAAUUUACUAAUUUUAUAAAAAGCAAAUAAUAAUAAAUAAUAAAAAAUAAUAAUAAAUGUACAAAAUAAAAUCUAAUAAAAAAUAUUUGGGUUAAAUAUGCUUUUAGUCUCUGAAGUUUUAUUGAUUUUUGGUUUUAGUUCCUACAUAGAACAUUGAUGGCAUUUCAUCCUCUUAUUAUGGAAACAUGUAUAUUUAGUUCCUAAAAAAUAGACAACGUCAAUUUUUUGGUAAGGUGGCAAACGGCGAGAUCAGGUUUCUGCCAGCUUUCUUUUAAGCAUCUGUCACGUUUCAUGUUUAAUUUCAUGUUUAAUUUGUGGAAUGAAAUUAAGUAAUUGGCACGUGUGAAUGAUUGAAUUAGGGCUUGAAAGCUUCCAAUUGGGGAAAAUUAUUUUCUGGAAACAUUGUACUCCAAAGACGCCCACACCUCCACCGUCGUUCUCCAACUCUGUCAGCCUCGCACCCUCUUCGACCGCAUCGCUGACAGCCCCCUGCCGGAGUCCCACGUUGCCUCCCUCACCAAGCAGCUCCUCGAAGCCCUUACCCCCUGCCCUCGGAGUCCCACUGCUGGAGUCCCAUUAUUGGAGUCCCACCUCGAAAACCCGAAAACCCUUCUACGGAGAUUCUGCUGUAGAAAUUUUUGAAGUUGUUUUAAGGGCUAAUCUUAGGUUUCCUUCCACAAUUUUUAGGUAUGUGUUUGUUCAGGCUAAGGAUCUUCUUAGGAAGAUGAUCUGUAGAGAUCCCUCUGGACGUAUAUCUACACAUCAAGCAUUGAGUAUGUUUAUUCCUUUCAAAUUGUUCUUAAAAAAAGUUAGGUUUCUUGUGUUACUUUAUUAAUUAAUGUGUCAUUUAUUUGGUUGCAGGACAUCCAUGGAUUUUGAGUAUUGCUCAUCUUUCUUGAAGAGUGUCGCUUCAAACUAUUUCAUCCAUUUUUGUACAAUUUAUAGAGAAAAAACAAAAACUCUUAUGAUGUAUAUUAUAAAGAUUUUUAGAAUAUUAUUACAAUGUUUCAAAAACUUACAUUUCCCCAAUUGGAAGGUUUUGAGCCCUAAUUUCUAAUUUGAUUUCAAUCACCUACACUUAAGACUAUCUCCCUCUUGAACAACACGAUUUCAAACCUAAUUUGCCCCCAACUCAAAUCACGAAGCACAACUCCAAGGUGUCUUAAAAUAUAGUUUAUAAAAGAUUAAGUCACCAACACACAUGCUACAAUGUUAAUCUACUUCCAAAUGUUAAAAAACUCCAACGUGAAAGGCAAUGCUCAAUGAAGGUGGAAGAAGACAUGACAGGACCGUUAGCUACCUCACAAAAAAAUUGACGCUGUCUAUUUUUAGGGACUAAACAUACAUGUUUCCAUACUAAGAAGAUGAAAUGCCAUCAAUGUUCUAUGCAAGGACUAAAACCAAAAUUCAGUGAAACUUCAGGGACUAAAAACAUAUUUAACCCAAAAUAUUUUUGUCAUAACUUUUUUUCUC
rnacentral:lncRNA from 1 species